rnacentral:lncRNA from 1 species
GUGGCUAUGCUAAUCUGAAUCUUAAUAAUAAAACUCUAGCAUGGAUAUGAUGAAUAGUUGCUCUGCCUAAUUUACAAAUUUGAAGUUCUCUCUCAAGUUUAGACAUAACUGUUAUAAUUUAAAGCUUGCUCUAGAUCUAAAUUUGUGGGAUAAAAACUUGAUCUGAAAUCUAAGUUGUUAACGGAUGUGAUAUGGGAAGGUUGAGCUGCUGUUUAUCUGUUCCUAGAGAUGCUAGAAUUCUGGAGAAUUUUAUCUUUGAAAAAUCUUUAAAAUAUUGCAUGAUGAGUUCCUGUAUGAUGAAAGUUUAAAUUCCUACCACAGCCAUAUAUACAUGCUUGCUAGACUUUGAGCCACACAUUUACUAUUUACUGCUUAUGAGCAUUGAGUGUGGUCAAGCUGUGUAGACCCUUAGACGCUUGUCAUGUGGUUAAAUCAAGAUUUUACUUGCACAUUCACUCAUAUAUGCUACUUCUACUCCGGAAGUACCAUCCACAUAUAUCCACUCAUUUCCAUCUCCAGAACCACCCAAAAAUAUUCUACUCCUAAUCCGGGAGAGAAUAACCAAAAAUAUUUCUGUCUUUUCUUGUGAAAUAAAUGCUCAAGUUAUCUUGUUACUACCACUUGCUAUAUUAGCUCAUGAGAUGAGUGCUCUAAAAAAAGGAGAGAAAAAAAUAUACGAGGAAAUAAAAAGGGGCAAGUGCCCGGAACCUCGAAAGAAAAGAAAAAGAGUGAGACGAGAGGUAAAAAUGGACAAGUGUCCGACAGUAGAAUUAGGGGUACAGGAUACCCACCUGAGAGGAAAGAAAAAAAUGAAAGAUAGAGCAUCUCAUUCUCCUCAUAAAGUUUCAAAAAGCAAGGAAGGUAUGUAUCCCCUCAAAAGAGCAAAAGUAGAAUUAGACUUCCACCAUUGUUAUCACCAUCAUCACCAUACACCAUUCAUUCGCCACACAUGCACAUCUUGAUUUGGCUUAUUAACUUCUUUCUCUGGAUCCAUGGUUUGACUAUGCAAUAAAUGUCUUGUAAGUAUGUAUUAGCUGUCUCCCACCUAUGAGCUUCAGAUAUUAAAGCCUUAUUAGAGUAGGGUGAGAGAGAAGGCAAUGUCACUAUGUCUUAUACCACAAAUACCACAUAUCUUGAGAGAAGGCAUAUACCAUCACUGCCUUGGUAAGGAUCCAGAAAUACCACAAAAGAGAGAUUUAGAGAGUCAUACAAGGAAUCUCUAAGUUUUAUUUGAAAAUCUACAAAAACUCCAGAGCUAUAGCUGAUCAAGAACAAGAGACAUGGCACUUGGCUAGACUGUUCUAUCUUUCAACUACUCAAGACAGAAGUGACGGUUACAAGUCCCAUGGUGAAAGGUAAAGUAAGUAAGUUUUAGUUCUUGACAGUUUACUCUAACUCAGAGAUGAGAUCUUAUUUAAAAGCAUAUGUACCAUCAAAUUUUUAAAGAUAUUGCAACAACUUCUGAUCCAUUGCUGAGUCUAUCCUUGCUCAGGGACGAGCAAGAGGUAAGCUUGGGGGAGUUUGUUGACGGUCCUUAAGUAUCAAAUUUAAUUAUCAAAUAAACAAAGAAAAGGAUCCAAAUGAAAUCAACAUCUAGACUUAGGGUUUUAUAUGACAGAAUUCUAUGAGUUUUGGUGUUUGUCUAUUUCUGCAGGAUGUUAUCAGGAAAUACGAAAGAAAGGCCCACACGUCGGGAUUACAUAGAGAUAUUAACGUGCCAUGCAAUUAUCUUACAUCUAGAAGACUCCAGAAGCCACGGGAAGGAAGCGGAGGCCGAACGGGGCCAGAGGCAAGGCGCCCGCCCUCCUGCCCUGGGCGCCCGCCCUGACUUGGAGCCCAAUCAGGACUCUUUCUCUCGGGAGAUCUCCACCGACUUAAAGGAUCAAGAAUAACCGUUCAAUCAAUGUCGGUUUGAUCCGACGGCCCAGGUUCACUUGAUGGGACUAUAUAACCAGACCCCCUGGCCCCUGGAGGAGGCACCCCUUGAUCAUUAUUCAUUAUUCAUAGACAGAGCAAAAGCUAGGGUUUAGAGAUGAGAGCUCUCCUCUCUUCUCUAAACUAGAGUAGAUCUAGAUAGUAGCAAGAUGGAGAGCGAAGGAGGAUUAGAGGAGAGGCCGGCCUGUCGGUUCUUCCUCCGGUUGUACUUCGUCAUGAUCAAGCUCUAAUCAAGCUUGCUCAUGGGAUGACUCUGGUAAUCUACUUCUAAUUCAUUAUGCAAUUACUAAUUAUGUAUGUUCUGGUUCACAACUCUUUUGAGUAUUCUAAUCGAUAGGACGCUAUAGGUGAGAGUUGUAGUAUAGGUGUAAGCGAGGUGCUUAGAUCUAGAUUACUUGUGGAUAUCCCUGUCUAGCUGGAUCGUGUGGUAGGCCGCGUAGGUGACAGUUACGUUGGUCCUCUGUAGUCCACCUCUCGUUAGCAGGACGGGUAGGGUUUAUCGGCCUAUGGAUAAACAUCCUUUGUGGUGAACUCUUAUCACGUGGUUCGUCCCAGACAUAGACAUACCCCUUUGAAGUAGAGAAACCAUAGUUAUCCUCUCUAUUCUGCUACCAUCGCCCAUAUACUAGAAUUGCUCUAUUCUCUAUUCCCAUAUCACUGUUAUCUUACCUCUAAUAUUGUUCUUAUUCGAUUCUACCAUCUUUCCUGUUUACACCUAUUUACUUAUCUUGGUUAAGUUAGAGCGUAGAUCAGUUCUCCUGUUUCCCUGUGGAUACGAUAAAACCUUUAACCGGGUAAAAGCUUCAACGGUAUCCGUGCACUUGCGGAUUAUCUGUGUGCGUAUAAAUACCAUAGUACACACUAGUGCCAUGCUAGGGAUGACAACCUAGUAUUCAAGUGGUGUUAGCAAGUUUCAACAGUCAUCAAUUACCAAAAAGGGGGAGAUUGAAAGGUCCUUGUUUGGUUUUGGUAAUUGAGUGACAACUUAGGUGGACUAAUAGUGUUUAUAUGAGAUACACAGGAGAUUAGUCCACAGGUGAUGAUGUGAUGAUGUAGGAGCUCAUUGCAUAUGAGACAUAACAUGGAGUCAUGUGACCAAGGUGGAGAAGAUCAAGAUGAGGCUUGGCUUGAUGGACCGGUUGCAAGAGUGAAGGGCAAGUCGGAGGCUUUGAAGCGAGGGACUGCGUGUGACGGUGAAGCUUGAGCAAGACUUGGCGCCGAUGGACCGAGGCAACGGUGAAGAGCAAGUGAGGUCAAGAUCGAUGAACCAAUACGGUCACGUGAUGAUAUGAAGUGGAUCAUAUCAUUUGGUGAUUGGUUGGUGCAUAUGUUGCUUCAACAUUGGAGGAGAUGGAAUGGAAUGCGCAAGGCAAAGGUAUAACCUAGGGCAUUUCCAUUUCACCGGUCAUAGGUGUGUAGAGAAGUUUAUGACCGGAUUUAGGAUAGAUGGCCGUACUAUCAAGAGGGGCAAACUUGUUUGCAUAUCGAUCAUCUAGUGCCACUUGAGCGAUCUAACUUUGCAUACGUGUUAGGAUCGAGUGGCGUGGAAAGUUGAGAGGCUAACUCCUUUGAGAAAAUGUUUGUGAAAAUGCUAACACACUUGCACAUGGUGGUGUACACUUGGUGGUGUUGGCACAUUUGCAAAGGAGGUGGAGUUCCUAGGGUUGAGAUGGGGUGAGGGGUGUCGGUGCUUUUGAGAAAAUUAAGUGUAUAUUUUCUAUUGCGCCGGUGGGAAUUUUGGAGAAGUUGCGGGGAGAAACACUCACCGGACGCUGGUGUUGGCAGCACCGGACGCUGGUCCAGAGCAUCCGGUGUGGUGUCUGUGGCUCAGGUGUGCAAAGCGCACCGGACGCUGGGCGGUUACUGUUCGAGCGUCCGGUGGUGUCUGACGUCAGCGAGUGCGCGCGAGGAGUUUCUGACCGGUGAGCACCGGACGCUCAGGGUGCGUCCGGUGACCGUGCGAGUUUGCGGAGCUCUCUGCGCACGGGUCCGGUGUGCACCGGACGCGUCCGGUGUGACGCUGUAGAGCGUCCGGUGGUGCUGUGCAGGUGCGCGUGUGCAGUAGCCAUUGGCGGCAACGGUCGAGUUCAAAUGGCUAGUGACACGUGGCGGUCAGCUGAGCACCGGACGCUGGGGGUUGAGCGUCCGGUGGCUCCCUGUGAGCGUCUGGUGCCCACGUGUUUUGCCCAGUAAAGGGGCAACAGCUAGUUUAGCCCUUGGGGCUAUAAAUAGAAGUGGUGGCCGGCCUUGGCUGGUGCUGAGCACCCUUGGAACUUAGUGUCCAUGCGUGGGGAGUGCUAGGAAAGCCUCUAACUCACUUGUGCUUGCAAGAGUGCGAAUUAAUAGCGAGUGAGUGAUUCUAGUGCGUUGCAUUGAGAGAUUGCAACGAGUGGCACUAGGUGUUCGUGUUGCAAGCCGGUGGUGCUUGUUACUCUUGGAGGUUGCCACCUCCUAGACGGCUUGGUGGCUUGUGACUCCGUCAAGGCACGCAAGGAGAUUGUGCGGUGCUCCGGAGAGGAGAUUGUGAGGGGUACGGUGCUCACCCCGCGGGGAUCGCGAAGAGCAACUCUAGUUGAGCGAGACGUGAAGAGCGACAAGUGGUCCGGCCAGGUCAAGUGCUAGAGCUUGUGGUAAGCACUCCACGUGGGAGAGUGUGACUUGCGGGUCACCACUAGCAAGAGGACCGGUGGCAACCUUGGAGCUUGUCUCAACGGGGACGUAGCUUGGUGGCAACCAAGUGAACCUCGGGAGGAAAUCAUCGUGUCAACUUUGUUCUUCCCGUUGGUUUGAAAGUCCCUAACACAAGCUUGUAUUUACAUUCAUAUAUUUGUGCUUGUGUAGUUGCUCUUGUAAUUAGUUAGCUUGUGUAGCUUUCUAGUUACCUUCUUGCUUGUGUAGCUAGAAGUAGUUCCCUUGCGUGACUAAUUUGGUUUGUGUAACCUUGUUAAUCACAUUGCUUAGUUUGUGUAGCUAAUUUUUUGUGCGCUCUAAUUUGGCAUUGGUUGCCUUGUUAUUGAGCUUGCUAGUGAGCUUAGGAGCUUUGUGCUUUUGCUUACUAAGUUGUGUAGGAGCUCCCCGGUUUGCAAAGUACUAGUGGCAUAGGUUUGUGUGACCUUGCUUCUAGAAUUGGUUAGGUGAGCUCUUGCUAAGGUAGCACCUUGUUUGCUUGUUUAGGAUCUUUUACAUGGUGCUAGAGAACUUAGAUAGAAGGGUGUAGUCUUGGCUAGACCGAUAGUUUUAAUUCCGCACUUAUUUCGGUUAGCCGGUGCGAUAAGUUUUAGAAAGGACUAUUCACCCCCCUCUAGUCCUCCAUCUCGACCCUUCAACAUGUGAAAAUGAUGUUAUAACUGUUUAAUGUGGCAUGGUAGGUCCUGUCUAUACAAAAGUUGUAGAUAACUCUUUCAUCUAGCUUGUGUUAUAGUUUCAUAUCAUUUGGAUAAAUGGUUUGUGAGUCAUAAGGGUAUAAAGUUUAUCUGUCAAAAUGCUUGUUCUUUGGAAUUCCUGGACCAAAUUCUAUAAAUCUGCAUGUUUGACUUAGGUAACUUUCUAAUCAUGCUAAUAUGAUUAAAUAUGAAUUGUAUACAAUUUUAUAAGCUUUCCAUAAUGUCUUAUUGCAUGGAUUUUGGAUCUAUAGAACUCUAGUUAUGAUUUAUUUACGCAACUGUUGCAUGUAUGUCCAGAAUUGCUAAUAAUGCAUGAAUGCUUGAUUAACUUACAUUGUGUGUGGAUUGCACAGAAUGAAGGUGGCAACAUUGUGCUAGAUGUUUGUUCAAAGAUCUCCAGACUAUGUGUUCGAUCUGCAGGCUAUGUGUUUUUGUUCAAAAAACUAGCACUUAAUGAUUUUUUAUUAUAUAUUUGUUCUUGUUCUCCCAUAAUGCGGUGAUAUGUUGUACGAAUGUGGUGAUCUGCAGGCAAUUUUUUUGUACUGUAUGAAUGAGAUGAUAUGUUGUAUGAAUUAAAAAUCAUUUUAGUGAAUUUUAUUUGAAUCAAAACUAUGUAUCUGUUCCCAAACGCAUGAUAAAAAUCUCGUUCCCAAACGCCUGCCGAAGUACCUCUCGCCAAAACGUACUCCUACAUCUACACUUGUCAUAUUCCGAUCGACCAAACACACGCGCUCGCGAAACGUACACGUUUCUAGAUUGUUCUAACGUGCAGUGAACUCAAUUGUAUUAUUUUUUACGAGCUACCGCAAUCUCAAAUUGUAAAUCAUUCCAUGAACCUUGUAGAGUCAAAGUAUCUCAAAUUUAAUCAAAUUUAUAUGAUAGAAUAAUAAUAUUUAUGUAUCCACUAAGUAUCAUUAGAUUUUUCAUUAAAUUGUUGUUAAAAUAUUUUGACUUAUCAAAUAAGUCAUAAUUUGAUAAGCAAAGUUACAAAUAUGAUUUUUUUGCAAACCUCAAAUUGUUACAAAUAUAAUUUUUUUCAUUAAUAUGUAUCCACUAUAAAUUUACUUGAGACAUAAAUGCUAAUAACUUGGCGUCCAAUUUGCAGAAAUAGCCAAUCCGAAUGACAACAUGGAUGAUGCAAUAAUGGACCUAAUCAACAACGGCGCCAAUCCAGAUCCCCAAGGCGAAGAUGAUGGGAGUCAGUACUUUGCUGAUUAUGAAGAACUUGUGAGAGACAAUCCUGAUGAGGUCUAUCUACAAUCUAGUAUAUAUGUAUAUAUAUGAAAUUAAAAUAAAUGACAUUUAUACUAAUAUAUUUAUACUUGUUUGUGUAGCCCUCUAAAUCGGCGACAACUUCUGAGAAGAGUAGAAAAGUGCGCGGCCCGAAGAAGUCGUUGGAGGGUCGGUACAUUCUGUCGGAAUUCGAUGAGGGUACAGGACAAGUACUUGGGGCUAAUUCUAAAAAAAAUUGUUGCGCACUGUGGCUACCUUGUAAUGGACAGGCUCUCGGUCAGUGCUCGAGAAUGGAGGCAACAGAAAGAUAACCCUAAUAUUAGUUUUGUCUCAGAUCGUGACAAUGAAUUUAUUUGGCAAGAUAUCCUUCAACAUUUCACGCUCGAUACACAGGAUGAAGCUUUGAAGGAGAAGGUUAAAAUCUGGGCUAUGCAGAAGAUGACCAAACAAUUUCAGGCUUAGAAGAAGACAUUAUACAAGACUUUUGUUGCACAAGGCCGGACACCAAAUUUCACCAACAAGGCCUACAUCAAGUUGAGGCCUUUUUGGGAUGAGUUCGUAGAGUUUAAGAACUCAGAAGAGGGUCAGGCACGGAUGAUCAAGAAUCAAGAAAAUGCUAAACAAAAGCAAUACCACCAUCACUUGGGUUCAGGUGGCUACAGGACUGCUAUUCCUAAGUGGCAAAAGCUGGAACAGGAGAUUCUUGGGAGAGGGAUCGAACCAGAAUCAAUGCACUGGCCCGAGCGCGCCAAGUAUUGGUUCUUUGGUCACGGGGGAACCAUAGACCUAGAGAAGAUAGUGUACGGUGAAAAGCUCGAGAGAGUAGGACAGGGAAUGGCCUAUGCUAGAGCAUUAGUUGAAAGCGGCACCUGGCAGCCAAAUAGAGAAAAGGAUGAGCUGACAUACGCCCUGGAGACUGCUGAACACGGUGGGCGAACCAGAGGGUAUGGGGAGGUAUCAUGGGAGCAUGGCUUCCCUAAAGGUAGACCGACUUAUAGAAGUCGCCAACGAAAGAAGGAAGAGGAAGCAGAGCGGUUGCAUAGGUUGGAGGCAAUGGUGAUGGAGUCACGCGAAGCGGCUCGUGAAGCGAUAGCGCGAGAGAAAGCGCUUGAAGAGAGAAUGAACGAGGAGAUCAAAAGACAAGUACAGAUUGUAGUAAGUUCUAUACAAGGGCAAACUGCAUCAGAGCCUACAGUCAACAUUAGCCCCCCCGGUCAGUUGAAAAGUAGUUGCGCUUCCACGGAGAUGCCAACUAUUCAAGACGACGUGGGGCUGCACUUUCCGGUGGAUGACAUCACUGAACCUCUGACAACAUGUGAGCUGUACAUUCCACAGGGAACUGCCACAGUCAUGGUUGCUGUCACUGUUGUAACUCCUGUCGACCCUACGAGGACACCAAGAAUCCAUGGGGCGAUAGUUCCAGCUGGAUAUGUGAAGCGCCCCUGGUAAACUAGGAACUCAAAUGUGAUACAAUACUAGUCCUAGGAGGCUAGUAACACAUUUAUUACAUCAGAUAAGUUUCAGCGCAGUAGUCUUGGAAAGCAUGGACAAGGAAGGCACGCUAUAAUAAUAAGACACCAAAAUACAACACAGGUCCAAAGGACCCAGAAACAAACGAUAUCGCCAUCGAACAUCUGACGAGUCCCAAUGCCACAGGCUUAGUUGGGUGCAGACACGACCUUACUCGAACACCACUUCGGAAUCGAAGUCCGGAUCUUUCUCUGUUUAAUAAAGCAAGGGUGAGUACAAAGUACUCAGCAAAUCCAACCUUACCCUACGGAAGGGGAUAACAGUAUAUAUGCAUAUGGAUAAAUCAAGGAUGAGGCUUAGUUUUUGUUGACACCGUUUUUGGGCACGUGUCUAGGAUGGCAAGGUAAGGUGGCAGUACGAUGUUUACAAGGUAAGUUGCCGAUGAGGAUGGUUGCCGAUGAGGGAGAAGUUGAACGUGACUAAGUCUACAGGCAGUGAUAUUGUGCCUAUGGCUAGAUAAGAAAGUCUGCCGAUGACUAUGGCAAAGGGUCUGCCGAUGAUGCGAAGGGGGAGUCCGGAAGCUGCCGGUCGUUGUGUGGAGGAGUUUCGGUUUGUCACGAGGGAUGGUUUUGUUAUUUCCUUAAUUAUUUACAUCGCUUUGUAUACGGAUUCCGUGUAAUUUGGAAUUCGAAUUCUAAUCGUGUCUGGUUGUAGCUCUUUGAGCAGGGUAUAAAUAUAGACCCUAGGGCCUUGUAAUGAGGGAUCUAUCAAUCAAUCAAACACACGUUUUUACUCAUAUUCCAGCAUCUAUUUUUCGACGACUUCGUCAUACUUUUUCUCUUUUAUUACGAGUUCUUAGGAAUUCGUCGACUUAAGCUCGGCGUAUUCUCGAGUUCCGCGUGAGUACCUCUUAGCCGUGAAAUCCGGGCGCAUCGCUGUUGUCAGGACUAAAGUAUUCGAGUUAUCACCUUUGCCGAUAGUAAGGUCAAAUCGGCUGGCACGCCUUAACGUUUGAAUCGGGUAUUAGCCCUUUGUGUUUGCAGAUCAGUUUUGCAUCAACACAUCUUUUGGCACGCCCAGUGGGACAAGAUUCAAGAUCAAGAUCAAUAUGUCGAUCUCUGACCUCGAUCAGGAGAACGUCAUCCCCGUGACGGAGGCCAAUCUUAAGGAUGAGCAGAAGCAAGCUAUUGCCCAAGCCAUGGAAGAGUUCAAGCAGCAAUGCCUGAGGUCUUUCAGUAUAAACAGGAGCGGCGAAGUGGUCCAGAAAGACGCACUGCCGGCACCACGGCAGGUUACCUUCGACGCCAAUCCUGGCAAGCUUCAAGAUAUGGUUGACAAUGCUAUCAACCGAGCUUUGAUCAACCAAGCUGGUGUACUAUCUAAUACGGUUUUCAAUGCCAUGGCAAGAACUUUCAAGGAAGGACAAAUCCCACCAAAUUAUGUGGGCCCCUCUCACCAUCAGCCAACGGCACUAGAGGUCACGGCUCCAUCAGAUACUUUGACGGCUGCAAGUGCACAAUCUGCCGUCCCUCCGAAUACAUCGGGAGCUACUGGUGCACUAUCUAUGCCGAUGAUAACCAACCCACAGACUUCAAUUGGGCAACAUAAACUGACAACGGAUAUGUUGGCAUCGGCAAUGUCAGGGUUGACUCUCCCUCCUAACUGGUGGGGUUACAGUAUGCCUCAAGAGUUGACACCAGGAACAUCACAAAUAACUGACAUGAGGGGCAAGACUCCUAUGACAUCGGCGCCCCCCAAUGCGCCGGUGAACCAAAGUCCUCGGUACACUACGACUACUACUGCAAGGCCUCACACUGGAAAUCCUCAAGAUUCAAUGUUCCAGAUGCCUAAUGCAUCGGCAGAGUCAAUGCUGGUGCAACAGAGGUCUAUGGCCCAGUCAGGGUAUGUCAAUUCAAUGAUGGUACCCAAUUACCAAUCAUCGGCAGCACCUAUGCCGAUGAACGCUAAUAAUGGAUGGCUUGGACAGCAAGUCUUUCCACAAUCACCCCAGCAGAGUUACCAGACUACAGGGUUCCAGCAAGGGCAGGUCUAUCCCGGGUUCCAAGGUCAGGGGAUUCCCAAUCAGCCAAUGAAUUUCGGACAGCAACUCGGGGGACAGCAACUCGGAGGACAGCCAAUCGGUGGACAGCAGUUUGGUGGUCCGCAGAUUGGAGGGCAGGUGAUCAAUCCAAUGUUCCGUGCAGAUCACGUCCCGAACAGACACGUGGAGGUUCGCCACCAAGUGCCAGAUCCGCAGCCGCCUCAUCGGCAAGAUGCCGAUGCAUAUUGGGCCGAUAAGAUUGCUGAAGUAAUGAGGGAACAAUUUGGGAUAAAACCCAAAGUCAACACGUACUCUUAUCGGACACCGUAUCCUCCUGCGUAUGAUUUGAUCCCGCUUCCACAUCGGUACAAGGUACCGGAUUUUACAAAGUUUUCCGGGCAGGACGACACGUCAACCAUGGUGCAUGUCAACAGGUUCAUCAUUCAAUGUGGAGAGGCUGGUAACAGGGACGAAUUGAGGGUUCGUCUAUUUUCUUCGUCAUUGUCUGGAUCGGCCUUUACUUGGUUCAUAUCAUUACCUCCCAACUCAGUAAUUACUUGGGCCGAUCUGGAGAAACAAUUCCACAAAUACUUCUUUUCGGGGGUUCACGAGAAGAAGAUCACCGACUUGGUCAAGUUGAGACAACGUAAUGAUGAGUCGGUUGAGGGUUUUGUGCAGAGGAUACGAGAAGUCAAAAAUAAAUGCUAUAGCUUGGUUCUGGAUGAUCGGCAGCUAGCCGAUUUGGCUUUCCAGGGUUUGUUGCCACAUAUCAGGGAUAAGUAUGCCUCUCAGGAGUUCGAAAGUUUAAGUCAUUUGGUGCAGAGGAUUUCUGAUCAAGACAUCAAGCCUUUCGAGCCCAAAAGAGCAUGGAAUAAGAAAGUGUCAUUUGUCGAUGAAGCAACAAGCUCAGAUUCUGAUGAAGAACCAGUAAUCGGCUUGGCAGAGUGGGUAAAAAACAAGAAGCCGAUGUCUUGUCCUUUUGGGCAGAAGGAACCAGAGAAGUUUGCUUUUGACACCGCUAAGGCUGAUAGGAUAUUUGACUUUCUACUUCAGGAAGGUCAGAUCAAACUGUCACCUAAUCAUGUGAUCCCAUCGGCAGAAGAGUUGAAGAGGAUGAAAUAUUGCAAGUGGCAUAAUGCAACUUCCCAUGACACUAACGAGUGCAAAGUAUUCAGACAGCAGCUGUAAUUCGCUAUAGAGUCUGGGAGAAUCAAGUUUGACAGUUCCAAGGCCCAGAAGCCGAUGAAGAUAGACCAACAUCCUUUCCCGACAAACAUGUUGGAUGCUAAGGGGAAGGCUAAGGUCUUAACCUCGGAGACAGCUGAGAAGAGUGCAUCGGUAGAUCCUCAGCAUCAAGUUACUACUGCCGAUGCAAGAAGUAAGGGCUUGGUCCAGGAAGGAACUAGCUCAGGAAGGCCUCCUCGGUCUGGUAUCAUCAUAACUCAUAGAAGGCCUCGAGAAAAUUGGCAACAACGGGAAGAUCGGUAUCGGCGCCAGCAGGAAGAUUAUCGACGGGAAGAAGAAAGACGCCGACAGGAGUGGAAUCGGCACAGAGAUCAUUGGAAUUGUCCGUUCUUCAUCCAUUGUUGGGAGGAAAAUAUCAAGCUUCCUACUGUCAGAGACUGCCCUGAGUGCAACGGUUAUGAUCGGUACUAUAGAACCGAUCAGCGUUAUUAUGAUGAUGAUUGGCGAUUUAAUGGGCCAAUCAGAGGAAGGGCGUCAGUUCAUGAUCGGCUGAGGGGCAGGCUUAGCGUUCACGAUAGGCUUGGUGACCGUGUCCAGUAUUUUCCCAGGAACCAGGAAGAGCUCGAGGAGAUGGCUAAUGCACGGGUUCCCGAUGAGUUCAUAUUUUGCAGAGAUGCUAACACGCAUCGUAUGGAGUCAAGGGAGAACCGACGCCCGGCAGCAAGGCAAAAGCUACUUCCUCCAUGGUGUCCUGAAGGAUUAACCAAGACACAGAAAAGGAGAUUGCAGCGUGAAAGGCAAGAGGAGCUAAGCAAGGGCGAGAACUCUGGAAGUCAGCAGUCAUCAGAAACUAAGAGGGAAGGUCCAUCGGCAGGAGUCAACAUGGUCUUUAUGUUGCCGAUGGAGUUUCUUGCACCAUCCAGUAAUGAUAAGUUGGAAUUUUCUGAUCAGAUAGCUCAGCUGGCUCUGGAUCCGAUGACGGCUAUCUUUGAGAAACCUACCGAUAACGAGAGACAGCAUCUCAAAGCUCUGUUCGUCAAAGGAAGGGUUGAUGGGCAGCCAAUGACCAAAAUCCUAGUUGAUGGUGGGGCUGCUAUUAAUAUUAUGCCGUACGUAGUGUAUCGGAAGCUUGGGAAAGGAGAUCAGGAUUUGACCAAGACCGAUAUGAUGCUCAAGGAUUUUGAAGGAAACGUGUCUCCAGUCAAUGGGGCGAUAUGUGUGGAGUUGACCAUCGGCAGCAAAACCUUGCCGACAACUUUCUUCGUGAUCAUCGGAAAGGGUGCUUACAAUUUAUUGUUGGGAAGAGAUUGGAUUCAUGCCAAUUGUUGCAUCCCAUCUACAAUGCACCAAUGCUUGGUUCAGUGGGUAGGUGACAAGAUUGAGAUUGUCCCAGGAGAUUCUUCUUAUGUUAUUGCAUCGGCAGAGGCGGAUACCUAUGAAAGGACUAGGUGCAUUUCAGGGGAGGUUUGGGAGAAAGAUUUUCUCAAAGUUGCCGAUUACGAGAUUCCACCGAUCCAAGCAGUCGGUUCUGACGACGGUUUUUAAUGGAUAGAUUCGCCGAUGAUGGAAAAUUGGGCCAGGGGUUCACAUCGGCCGAUGAUUUGGUAGAAGUAGAUAUAGGUAGUGGUGAUAAGCCUAGACCUACUUUUAUUAGUGCUAAAUUAGAUCCUGACUGUAAGCAACAAUUAACUGAUUUGUUAAAGGAAUAUAAAGAUUGCUUUGCUUGGGAUUACACCGAGAUGCCUGGUUUAGACCGAUCAAUUGUUGAACAUCGGUUACCCAUCAAGUCUGGAUUUCGGCCACAUCAGCAACCGGCUCGACGAUGUAAUCCUAACAUUCUACCUGAUAUUAAGGCCGAAAUCACCAAACUCAUUGAGGCUAAGUUUAUUCGGCAGUGUUGGUAUGCCGAAUGGAUUUCCAAUGUUGUUCCGGUUUACAAGAAAAACGGGAAGCUUCGGGUGUGCAUUGAUUUCAGGAAUCUCAAUAAAGCUACGCCGAUGGAUGGAUACCCAAUGCCUAUUGCCGAUCUGUUGGUUGAUGUUGCGGCUGGUCAUCGGGUCAUCAGCUUUAUGGACGGCAAUGCAGGAUACAAUCAAAUAUUCAUGGCAGAAGAAGAUAUUCCAAAAACCGCAUUUAGGUGUCCUGGUCAUGUUGGGUUAUUUGAAUGGAUAGUCAUGACCUUCGGGUUAAAAAAUGCUGGUGCUACUUAUCAAAGGGCCAUGAAUUUUAUAUUCCAUGAGUUCAUCGGCAAGCUGGUGGAGAUUUAUAUUGAUGAUGUGGUGGUCAAGUCUGGAGAUUUCUCAAAGCAUCUUGCCGAUUUACGAAAAGUGUUAGAGUGCACAAGGAAGCAUGGAUUGAAGAUGAAUCCCAACAAGUGUGCAUUUGGUGUAUCGGCAGGGCAGUUUCUUGGUUUCAUGGUACAUCAAAGGGGGAUUGAAAUUAGUCGAAGAUCUAUUGAUGCCAUCAAUAAGAUAGUGGCCCCCACCAACAAGACUGAGCUCCAGUCCUUGAUCGGUAAGGUAAAUUUUAUCAGGAGAUUUAUAUCCAAUCUGUCUGGUAAGAUUCGUGCUUUCAGUCCUCUUCUUAAAUUGAAAGCCGAUCAAGAAUUUAUUUGGGGAAAAGAACAGCAGUUGGCUCUGGAUGAAAUCAAGAAUUAUUUAGUAAAUCCUCCAGUUCUAGUUCCACCUCAGCAGGGAAAGCCCUUCAGAUUGUAUUUGUCUACCGAUGGGACGGUUAUCGGUUCGGCUUUGAUUCAUGAAUUUGAAGGGAAAGAGCGUGCAAUUUAUUACUUAAGCAGGAGAUUAAUUGAUGCUGAGACCAGGUAUUCGGCCAUUGAGAAAUUAUGCUUAUGCUUAUAUUUUUCGUGUAUUAAAUUGAGGCACUAUUUACUAUCGGCCGAAUGCACUGUUGUUUGCAAAGAUGAUGUGGUCCGAUACAUGCUAUCGAUGCCGAUUAUGAGUGGCAGGAUUGGUAAAUGGAUUUUAGCACUGUCAGAGUUCGAUCUGCAUUACGAAUCGGCUAAGGCAGUUAAAGGACAGGUUAUGGCCGACUUUGUGACUCAGCAUUGCGGUGUAGUGGAGGCCUUGGAAAUUGUGCCCUGGGCACUUUUCUUUGAUGGAUCUACAUGUGACCGGGGGGCAGGAAUCGGCAUUGUAUUAGUUUCCCCUAAGGGGAGGAAGUAUGAAUUUUCCUUGCCGAUUGUUGCUACAUCGACAAAUAAUCAGGCUGAGUAUCAAGCUCUGAUCAAAGGAUUGGAGUUGUUAAGAGAAAUUCGUGCUGAUGCUGUUGAAAUUUUUGGGGAUUCUAUGUUGGUUAUAAAUCAAUUGGCCGGGAGCUAUGAAUGCCGAAGUGAAGUUCUCAUAACUCAUUUCGAGAAAAGCAUGCAACUGUUGAAAGAAUUCAAAGAUUUCCGAUUAGAGCAUAUUCCUCGAUUGCAUAAUGAAGAGGCCAAUCGGUUGGCUCAGCAUGCCUCGGGGUAUCAGCCUAUGAUUAAUGCAAUAUCGGCAAUCGGUGCCGAUGAUUGGAGGAAGGAAAUUAUUGAUUAUCUAAAGGAUCCAUCCAAGAAAGUUGAAAGACGAGUUCGAUUUCAAGCAACCAAAUAUGUGCUCCUCGAAGAUGAACUGUAUUAUCGAACUAUUGAUGGAAUUCUUCUCCGAUGUUUGGGUGAUGAUGAAGCUAGGAGUUUGAUGGGAGAAAUCCAUGAAGGGGUAUGUGGAGCACAUCAGUCGGCUUUCAAAAUGAAAUGGAUGAUUAGAAGGAAUGGAUAUUUUUGGCCGACUAUACUUGAGGAUUGCUUUAAGUAUUUCAAGGGAUGUCAAGGUUGUCAAAAAUUUGGUAACAUUCAAAGAGCGCCCGCAUCGGCUAUGAAUCCUAUUAUCAAGCCUUGGCCGUUUCGGGGUUGGGCUAUCGAUCUGAUCGGCCAGAUUUAUCCACCAUCUAGUAAGGAGCAUAAAUUUAUUUUGGUUGCCACUGAUUAUUUCACUAAAUGGGUUGAAGCUAUUCCUUUGAAGAAGGUCACCUCGGCCAAUAUGAUUGAUUUUGUGAAGGAACACAUUAUUUACCGAUUUGGGAUUCCUCAGACAAUUACUACCGAUCAGGGCACUAUGUUCACAUCGGGGGAGUUUGAUGAAUUCGCAAUCGGUAUGGGGAUUAAAGUAUUGAAUUCUUCUCCUUAUUAUGCUCAAGCCAAUGGGCAGGCCGAAGCAUCUAACAAAGGGAUUAUCAAGCUUAUUAAACGAAAGAUUGAAGAAAAUCCUAAGCGGUGGCAUACAUUGUUAAAUGAAGCACUGUGGUCUUAUCGAAUGGCUUGUCAUGGAUCAACCAAGGUGUCACCCUAUCAAUUGGUGUAUGGACAUGAUGCAGUGUUGCCCUGGAAGAUUAAGGCCGGAUCCAGGCGAUUAUCUUUUCAAGAUCGGUUAACCGCCGAUAAUUAUGCUACUUUGAUGAUCGAUGAGUUGGAUGAUCUAGCAGGGCAUCGGUUAAAAGCUUUAAUGAGUAUAGAAGAAAAUAAGAAGAGAGUUGCUAGAUGGUAUGAUAAGAAAGUGAAGGCUAAGGAGUUUUUCGAUGGGGAUUUGGUGUGGAAAUUAAUUUUGCCAGUCGGGACUAAAAGUGCGAAGUUUGGAAAGUGGUCUCCUAAUUGGGAAGGUCCUUAUCGGAUAAGUCGAUCGGCUCCUGGUAAUGCCUAUAUUCUAGAAACUCUCGAAGGAGUUGAAUUUCCUAGAGCAUUAAAUUUCAAAUAUUUAAAGAAGUACUACCCCAGCAUAUGGGUCGAUGCAUAAAAGUUUAAAUGCCGAUAACACUCCUAUCGGCUGAAUUCAAAUCUUUGGGGGCUCAGUGUUUCAAAAGUUUAAGUGCCGAUAACAAUCCUAUCGGCUAGACUAAAAACUGAGGAAGCAGGAAAGCGCGGAUAUAAUGCCGGUGGAAACUCUAUGUGUUAAGCAGCGCCUGGAUUGCCGAUAUAGCGCGUAGCCGAAUUUGGUUGGCUGCUUCUAUCUCCUUGAUGUCAUCAUCGGCAGAACCUUCUAUCGGCUUCAGCUUCUUCUUCAGUUGAAGUGCCUUGCGACCAUGAGCGUUUCGCUCGUGCUCAAGAAGCCUGAUGGUCUCUGGCAAUUGGCUCUCUUCCUGUUGGGCUUGGGACAGGGCGUUCUCCACUUUCCUUGAGCUCCGCCAACAGGGAUUCUCUUCUUGCCGAUAGAUCGGAUAUCUUCUGCUUCAGUGCGUCUCCAGAAGAUCUCAGGAUACCGAUGUUCUUGUGCUUCUCAUCGGUCAAAAGCUUCUCUUUCCUCAUUUCAUCGGAGAGUUGAGUCUGAGCGGCUCUAUCGGCAAGACGCCGAGAAGCUCUCUGGUACUGCAGCUGGCGACUCUCCAGAUGAGCGGCUUGGAACAGGAUUUCUUCAACAUCAGCUGGGAUUUGGCCUCUGAGAGUUCUGAACAGGGUUUUGGUAGGGUCGGAAUCAUGAACCAAUUGCGCUGUGUCCUGGUGAAGGAGAGCUGACAAUUCUUCCAGCUUGGCCCUGAUCUCUACCGACGUAAUGCCGACUGUCUGAGAAGAACUUGCUUCUUCACCUUCUUCUUCAGAGAGAUCGAUAGCGAAGGAGAACAGGCUAUCGGGAGAAUCUUGUUCCUGGGGAGGGAAGCAAAGUUAGCUCAUAUUCGGAGAAUCGGCAAAUAAUGCUAACGGUAAAUAGUGACUUACUUGCUUCAAGGCGAUCUCUUGUCUUUGACUGAGAAGUGUUGACGGAGCUGCAGGCUGAUCGGCCAAAGAUGCCGAUGGAACUACAGGUUGAUCGGCUAAGGUUGCCGAUGGGACGAUAUCGACUGAAAGAAGACAAGAAAGGUUAUGAGACUAAAUGAGAAUAAGUUCAUCGGCAACGGUAUUGUUAAAGUAUGUUACCUGGAGGAGGAACAACGGUUGUCUGAAUCGGGAGAACCGCCGAUGAUAUAAUUGGACCCACCGGGCCAGUUGUUUGUUCACCCACGUCAGCUGAUGUACCUUCUGUUUGAGGUCCUUCCUGCUGGGGUUCUUCUAUCUGUGGUGCUUCCUGCAUAGGUUGGGGAGACGGUGCUUGCUGUGGCUGGGCUUCUGGAGAAGAAGGAGAAGACUCCACCGGAAUUGGAGACACCGGAGGAGGAGGGGGAGUUGCUACUUUCUGGCGCUUUGUUCCAGUCUUAGCACCUGUGGUGCCCUUUCUCUUUGGUUGGCUAGACUGGGGGGCAUCAGCACUUUCACGCCUGGCUUUCGCCGAUACGCCGGUUUGCUGCAAUAACGAACAAGAGUUUAUAAGCAUAAAUAUAGCCGAUAUAAAGAUAGUCAGCAUAAAGGAAAAGAUUUAACAAAUUGCCUUGAAAGCCCGCGCCAGAGUGGGAGCAGCUACCGUUGGUGAUGUCUGGGUUCUCCUGGUGGUGACUUUCCUGAGACGCACACCCCGAUGCACGAUGGAAGCCAGGGUGGGAGCAUUGUGGCCGAUGGAGGAAAUCGGGCCUGAUGGAAACAAGUCAAUCGGCUUGCCACUCCUGCUAACCGAUGGAGGGAUGUUGUCAACCUGCAAAAGGAACAUAAGGGUAAGCUACCGAUGGAAGUAAUAUUGAGAAAAUAGAGCAUCGGUAUAAGAUACUUACAGUGUCAUCGGGAACUUCAUAUUCGGAGUCGAUCAUGCCGCGGUAUGAAAGGGCCGAUCUGCAGAAUAGAUGCUCUUUCCACUCUGCACACCAUAACUUGUAUGCCUGAGUGAUAAAAGCAGCCGGAACCCAUUCUGACAGAUCUAAAUCUGUUCGGCAUUUGGUGGUAGUUGGGCCACUCGAAUCCACUCAAGAAGGUUGUUGAUGGUUUCUCUGGGUUUUAUUACAUCGGCAUAAGGAAGUGCAAUCGGCAACUGGCCGAAAGCUAACUGGCGAGCUAAUGCCGAUGGAUUGUAAAGUUCAUAAGUUUGAGGAGAGGUUUUUGUGCUGCCAAAGAAAUUCACUGGAAUGAUUCUGGGAGUCACAAUUGCCAUCAUCGCCUCAUUGUCCCUGUCGAGAGCUUCAUCAAAUGGAUUGAAGGUCAGAGGGAGCAUGCUAUCUGGGUCAUCGUAAGCCAACCAUGGUCGUUCGUCUCUGGCUAAACCCUCAUACAGAGUCUGGAAGAAUCGGCCGAUUUGAUCCGAAUUACUCCCUGAACCAGGUAGAACUAUGACAGCUUCGCCAAAGUUCAAGGGGGCACGCGUUGCCGAUUCCUCUUCACCUAACACAAGGUUUUCGGCUAUAUCUCUUGGGAAGUGCUGUGCGAACAAGUUGAAAUCAAGGCGCUUAUGCAGGUGCAGAUUGAGCCACAUAUUAAUAAACCACCAAGGGCCUCCCAAGUUGCCGAUGGACUGGCCAAGCAGGAGUUUCUGGGCUACCUGAUGGAGAAGGUGGUAAACAGCGCCAAGCAAGUAUCGGCCGAGAGGAAAUUGGCCACCGUUAGCCAGUCUCUCUGCUGCCGAUAGAUAGACAGAAGUCGGUCCUGCCGAUCGACCACAGAAUACAAACUUGUCCAGCCACAUGUUCAGAAAGGUGGUUUGUUCCUUUAUGGUGACAGAUCCUUUCCCACGGUACUUCUGAAUGUACCCUGACCAACCGCCGAUAGCGCGGGUCUCCACUUUGGCACUAGGGGCAGUAUCAAAAAAGUGGUGCUAUCGGCAGAAGAUAUAUCUAGACCAGUGAGCAUGGCUACAUCGGCAAGGGAAGGAGAAGCAGGGCCGUGACCAAAGGCAAAAGCAUUGAGGGUGUCUGACCAAAAGUAAGAUGCAGCUAUCAGCAGUGACUCGUUCCUAUGCAUAUCGGCAAUGGACAACCUAAUGCAUUGGGCUAGCUUCCUUUCGCCCCAUUGGACUUCAUAAGAAUUGCUGACCCUCAAGAACCAGUCUUUCCACCCUACGGUAUGGCUAGGCCAAGAGCGGAAGGUAUCUUUCCACAGAUCUAAAGAAAAAUUUUCAGUUCUGAAGGGGAUCCUGUUGGUUUCUGCAUUAAUAAGGUCGGUUGGAUCUGGAUCUCCUAGAGGGCCGAGACAUUGGAGGUGUGGUUGAUCAGUGGGAAUGAUAAUUUUAUUGGACAAUUCCUAGUGAUUUUGAGAAUAGAAAGAAAUACAAAGAAAAGGAAGAUAUUCAGUAAAAUGAAUUGCGAGUGAACAGGGAUAUGAAGAAAAAUACAGGAGACAGGGUGGAGAUUUGACCUCAGGGACGACGAAGCCGACAGCCAUCUUGCUGCGAAGGAAGCGUUUGAGGGCGCCGGAGUUGAUGAAGAGGAGUACUUGUCGGAGACUUUGGGAGUUUUUGAUGGCGCCGCCGCUAGAAAAGUAAAGUUGGGUAGUAGAAUGGUGUGAUGGGGAAGGAGUACCCGAGAAGGAACUAUUUAUAGUACGAAAUGGGCAAGGGCAAAUCCGACUUAUCUCUUUGCCGCAUCCGCGAAAUCCAAGGGUACUCAGGUGGAUAUGGUAAUUGUUCGCACGGUAAUCCAGGGAUUGUGCAGGUGAUUUGACAGGAAGCGGUCAUUAUCUGAAGAUAUUUUACUGUGCGAGAUCUCCUAGUCGGUCCAUCGGCAGCAUUCUAUAACGGUCAUAUUGCCGAUGGGCGGAUGGAAGGGAAGUAACCGUUUGUGCGAAUAUCCUGGUCAGAACAUCGGCAGACCUUUGUAACGGUAUUAUUGCCGAUAUACGGCUGAGAAGAAAUGCCCGUUUAAGAAGUUGGGGAUCUCAAGGGAUCUGCGGAGGAAUAGGAUCAGAGUUGUUCAGAUUGAGGUUGUCGGUUACCAGAUUAGGAGCAUUAAUUGCGGGAAAAAGGCAUCAUUACUGCAGAGAGUUUCGGAGCAUUAAUAGUUUUAUACUCUGAAACUGGGGGGCAUGUGUUGACACCGUUUUUGGGCACGUGUCUAGGAUGGCAAGGUAAGGUGGCAGUACGAUGUUUACAAGGUAAGUUGCCGAUGAGGAUGGUUGCCGAUGAGGGAGAAGUUGAACGUGACUAAGUCUACAGGCAGUGAUAUUGUGCCUAUGGCUAGAUAAGAAAGUCUGCCGAUGACUAUGGCAAAGGGUCUGCCGAUGAUGCGAAGAGGGAGUCCUGAAGCUGCCGGUCGUUGUGUGGAGGAGUUUCGGUUUGUCACGAGGGAUGGUUUUGUUAUUUCCUUAAUUAUUUACAUCGCUUUGUAUACGGAUUCCGUGUAAUUUGGAAUUCGAAUUCUAAUCGUGUCUGGUUGUAGCUCUUUGAGCAGGGUAUAAAUAUAGACCCUAGGACCUUGUAAUGAGGGAUCUAUCAAUCAAUCAAACACACGUUUUUACUCAUAUUCCAGCAUCUAUUUUUCGACGACUUCGUCAUACUUUUUCUCUUUUAUUACGAGUUCUUAGGAAUUCGUCGACUUAAGCUCGGCGUAUUCUCGAGUUCCGCGUGAGUACCUCUUAGCCGUGACAUCCGGGCGCAUCGCUGUUGUCAGGACUAAAGUAUUCGAGUUAUCACCUUUGCCGAUAGUAAGGUCAAAUCGGCUGGCACGCCUUAACGUUUGAAUCGGGUAUUAGCCCUUUGUGUUUGCAGAUCAGUUUUGCAUCAACAGUUUUAUUUGCAUAAAGCUAUCUUUUUACACAUGCAAGGUUUCAUUUCACAAAUACUGUUGUAAAAGACCUCUUUUUCCACAUAUGAUAGUAUUUCUAAAAAUGGGGGUUUGAUCAUAAUUUUAAGUGUUGUUGAACCCUUGUUCCCACAACACAAUGGCAGUCAACCAUUUAUUUCCAAAAUCACACUCACUCUCAUGUUUUCACUCAUCCCAUCUCAUCUAGUUGUUGAAACCAAACCAUAACCCGUCCGAGACCGCGGACACGGCUAUCCAGAUAGAUUUACACUCUGCAGAGGUUGUACACUUUUCCCACAAGUAGGAUACCAUAACUUACACCGUCGUGCAAGCACAGAUCCAUCAAAGUCAUUACCCUCCAUAGCUAAGUAAUGGCGCUCACCACGGGAACACUAAGGCCACAUCUCAUGAUACCACAAUAAUUCACAAAGCUCUUUUCAUAUAUUUGCACAAUUUCACAUACAUCACUUAGUGUCCUGUUGCACACCUGCCUCCAGGUGAUUGCCAUACUAACUAGAGGGAUUUAGACUAAGCCUUUCCCAUGCAAGGCGAGUGGUUGUACGAUAAAUGAGUUAGGCAAGAUGAAUCAUCAACUCAGUCCUUAAUCGAGACAAGGCGGAUAUCUUCACGCUUAACCCUGCAAGGUAUAAGCCACAACACCAGGGCAUCUCCAAAAGAGAUCCCAUCCGCCCCAUCUCUAUAGUAAUCACAUCUAUAACUUGUUCAUUAACCCUUUCACAAUACCCACAAUUUAUUUUCACCACUCACACCUUUUUCUUUUAAAAUCAUUAUAUUUGAUAAAAUAUAGCGAUGAGUAUCCAGGAUGAGUAACAAGUCCUAAGCAUACUAAAUAAUAAUAUUUCUGUCAUAGCAUAUUAUUUGUUCCUAGGUUCGAACAAGACAAUUAUCGGGUAAUAUCAAUUCAAGGAUGGCUAUUCAACAGGUUUUAACUAAGCAGCGAAAAUACUUCGUACAUAUAUCGUACAUGCAAUAUUUAAAACGGCUUCUACGGGUAGUGUUUAAAAAUAGGAUCAAUAUGCAUCAAAGGGGAUCGGUUGGACUUGCCUCCGUCGGCGUCCUCGGCAAACUCCUGCUGACAGUCCGGGUCCUCGGCGUCAAACUUGCGGUACUCGUCUCCAACGUUCUCGUUUUCCGGCUCGUUCACUCCGUCAACUAAAAUACGCGACGAACGACACAGACAUCAGGCACAGAUAAAUAAUCAUAUAAAUUCAAAUGAGCUCCAAAAAUCAUGAAAUUAAUAUGGGAGGUAGGUCAUGAUUUUAGAUGAAUUUAGGAAAAAGAAUUAUUAAAAUCAUAGUUAGCAUGUGGCAUUUGUGAAAUGGCCGGACUUUAAUCAUGCGAAAAAGGCUAACGAUGAUUAAGAAAUACAUGCUUCACGAGAUAAAUUUUGGCUGGUAGUGCAUGUUGCAUGCAUGCAUGUACUAUUUGAAGUUAAUGCUUAUGGCCCACACAUGCAUGGUUAGAGAGAAAUUAGCAGGGGUCCUUAGAGCUCUUCUGUAUGUCAUGGUUCUAUUCGUAGAGUUCUUGGCAAUGAAUCGGUACAGACAAAUACAAGGAAAAAUACAGAAAAAUACUACAGAAAGACAGAGAAGAGCAAGGAGAUGCUCAUGAGCUGCUCACCUCGUCUUGCGACGACAGUCGAGCUCGGCUUGUGCAUAUGGCCGUAUACGGUAUACGCGAAGUGAGAGCGAGUGAGCGAGUGAGUGAACGUGUUUCUCGGGUGGUGAGAGUGAGCACCCGAGGCUGGCUUUUUAUAGGCCAAAGCGCUCAGCUGCGUGCCAUUAAAAAUGCUACUGUAGCGCAUGGUCGGUGCCUAAUUUCAUGCGAAGGACGAUGUCCCAUUUGCAUGCACGUUGCAUGCAAAUGGACGGUGCCUAAUCACCGUGUCCUUGCAUGCAGGUGCAUGCAAAUGGUCGGUGGCAUGUUCGUCCUGCAUGCAUGCAUGAGAUAUAUAUUCGUGUAGGUGCACUGCUAUAUUUUCUCGCAUGUAAGCUUGCUGGUACAUGCUAUUAUUUGUGCGCAAAAAAAUAUAAAUGGUGCCUAGUUGUACGUUGCGACUUGCUAUCUUUUUGUACAGCAAAAGAGGCGUGGGAAAAGGCAAGAGGUGGGGCCCGCAUGCCGCGGUGCGCGCGCGAGCGAGUGCGCUCGGCGAGGGGGCCGGGCGUGAGUGCGCUGCGGCGCUGAUGGUGGUGGGGUCGGCGCACGCGCCGUUGCCGGGUAUCGGGCAGAGCGAGCGAGCAAGAGGGAUAAGUAGCGGACAUAUGAUGCUCAUGCCAUGCGGUGCAGGUUAUAUUUAAAGAUGGAUAAUUAGAAUGGAUGGAAAAAGAAUUAGAUGGAGAUACUAUAGAGCUCAAAUGAUUUAUAGUUUUUGAAAUAUAUUUUGAAAAUAAUUUUUUUAAUGCGAGUGAUUUUUGAAUGUGAAUUUUUGGGAUGUUACAAACCUACCCACUUAAAAGGAUCUCGUCCUCGAGAUUCGGCUGGGUCCUAAAUAGAUGGGGAAACUCUUUUCUCAGGGCAUCUUCUCUUUCCCAUGUUGCUUCUGCUUCAGUGUGUCUACUCCACUGAACACGGCAAAUUCGGACCGUCGUCGUUCGAGUUUGCUUGGUGACUGUAUCUAGGAUUUUUAUUGGCACUUCUUGAUAUCUUAGGUCAUCUUGUAAAUCAACUGUAUCUGGCGAUAUUUGUUCCUCUGGUACUCUGAGACAUUUCUUCAAUUGGGAGACAUGAAACACAUUGUGUAUAUCUGACAUUUCUUCAGGUAGCCGAAUACGAUAGGCUACAGCACCAAUCCUCUGUAAUACUUGAUAUGGUCCAAUGUACCGAGGUGCUAGCUUGCCUCUAACUUGGAACCUUCGAGUUCCUCGAAUAGGAGAGACUUUGACAUACACAAAAUCUCUAACUGCAAAACUUAACUCUCUCCUUCUUUUAUCAGAAUAGCUCUUUUGACGUGAUUGUGCCUCUUUCAAUUUUUCUCUGAUUUCAGCUACACGAUCUUCUGCUUCUUUUAUAAGGGCUGGUCCAAGCAAGGUUCGUUCUCCAACUUCUGACCACAUCAAUGGGGUUCUACAUUUUCUUCCAUAUAGAGCCUCAAAAGGUGACAUGCCCAAACUAGCUUGGUAACUAUUAUUAUAGGAGAACUCUACAUAAGUUAGGCUUUUCUCCCAAUCUUUACCAUAUGUGAGCACACAUGCUCUUAGCAUAUCUUCCAUAAUCUGAUUUAUUCUUUCAGUCUGACCAUCUGUUUGAGGAUGAUAAGCUGAGCUAAAAUCUAGCUUGGUUCCCAUAGCUUCAUGCAAACUUUUCCAGAACUUAGAGGUAAAUUGGGUACCUCGGUCAGAUACAAUCCUACUUGGCACACCAUACAAUUUGACUAUGUUAUCCACAUAUAACUGGGCUAACUUGUCUCCACUAUAUUUGGUGCGCACAGGUAUGAAGUGAGAAACCUUGGUAAGGCGGUCCACUAUUACCCAUAUUGAAUCAUUUCCUUUCAGAGUUUUGGGUAAUCCAUUCACAAAAUCCAUGCCUAUCUCAUCCCAUUUCCAAACAGGAAUAGGCAAUGGCUGGAGCAAGCCUGCUGGUUUCUGAUGCUCCGCUUUAACCCUUUGGCAAACAUCACAUUGUGCAACAAAUCGUGCCACAUCAGCUUUCAUGCCAUUCCACCAAUAUCUUUCUUUUAGGUCCAUGUACAUCUUGGUGGCACCAGGGUGGAUAGAAUAAGCUGAGUUAUGGGCUUCAUCAAGGAUUAAUUCUUGAAACUUUCCCUCCUUGGGCACACAAAUCCUGUUUUUAUACCACAAUACUCCUUUGUUAUCCACUCUAAAGUAUGGAGCUUUAUUUUCUCCAGUUUGCUCACGAAUCUUCAUCAGAUCCUUAUCCUUAUGUUGCAUCUGUUUGAUUUCUUCCACAAGAGUUGGCUGCAUCAUCAGACUGCCAUUUUGAGGUUGACGUACUAUAUGCAUGUUCAACUGUGCUAUCUCUUCUUGUAGGUGAGUGUUCUUAGGCACCAACUGCUGACCAUAUGACCUUCUGCUUAGGGCAUCUGCUACCACGUUGGCCUUUCCUGGGUGGUAAUGAAUCUCAAGGUUGUAGUCCUUGAUUAAUUCCAACCAUCUUCUUUGCCUUAGGUUCAAGUCUGACUGUGUGAAGAUGUACUUCAAACUCUUGUGAUCAGUGUAGAUUUCACACUUGUUUCCAAUGAGGUAGUGUCUCCAAAUCUUGAGAGCAUGCACUAUAGCUGCUAACUCCAAAUCAUGGGUAGGGUAAUUUUGCUCAUGAGGUCUAAGCUGACGGGAUGCAUAAGCAACCACUUUUCCUCCUUGCAUGAGAACACAUCCUAAACCUUGUCUUGAGGCAUCACAGUAUAUGAUGAAAUCUUGGUGAAUGUCUGGCAAAGUUAACACUGGUGCUGUUGUCAGUCUCUUCUUCAACUCUUGGAAACUCUUCUCACAUGAUUCUAUCCAAGUGAAUUUCUUGUCCUUCCUAAGAAGCUCUGUCAUGGGUCUGGCUAUCUUGGAAAAUCCUUCUAUAAACCUUCGAUAAUAUCCAGCUAAUCCAAGAAAACUUCUAACCUCACUCAUAUUGGUGGGUUGCUGCCAAUGGGAGACAGCUUCUACUUUCUCAGGGUCAACUGCAACUCCUUCAGCUGUCAAGAUGUGGCCUAGAAAUGCAACCUUCUCAAGCCAAAAUUCACACUUGCUGAAUUUAGCAUACAACUUGUAUCCUCUUAGCUUUUCCAACACUACUCUCAAGUGUUGCCCAUGUUCUUCAGCACUCUUAGAGUAGAUAAGUAUGUCAUCAAUGAAGACUACAAGAAACUUAUCUAACUCUUCCAUGAAUACCUUAUUCAUGAGGUUCAUGAAAUAGGCAGGGGCAUUGGUUAAUCCAAAGGACAUCACUGUAAACUCAUAUUGUCCAUAUCUGGUUACAAAUGCUGUCUUGGGAACAUCACUAUUCUUGAUCUUGAGCUGGUGAUAACCUGAUCUCAAAUCAAUCUUAGAGAAAUACUUGGCUCCUUUAAGCUGAUCAAAAAGGUCAUCUAUCCUUGGCAGGGGAUACUUAUUCUUGAUGGUGACUUCAUUUAGGGACCUAUAAUCUACACACAUCCUCAUACUUCCAUCUUUCUUCUUCACAAACAAGACUGGGGCUCCCCAUGGUGAAGAACUAGGUCUAAUAUAACCUUUCUACUGCAAUUCUCUUAGCUGCUCUUUCAGUUCAGCUAACUUUGCUCGAGCCAUUCUGUAAGGUCUCUUGGCUAUGGGGGCAGUCCUAGGGAUAAGAUCAAUGAUGAACUCUAUAUCCCUAUCUGGUGGCAUUCCAGGUAGUUCCUCAGGGAAUACAUCAGGGUAUUCUUGCACUAUUGGUACUUCCUCUAUGGUCCUUGCAUCCAGGUUGAAGACCAUUGGAUUAACUUUAGACCCUCGGGUUUGGCAUUAUACUUUAAUCCCUUCAUGGUUAACUAAUGAUACUUCCUUGGUUGCACAACUAAUAAUUCCAUUGUGUCUGGUUAACCAAUCCAUUCCAAGGAUAACAUCUAUUCCUUUGGACUUGAGCACUACUAAGUCUCCUAAGAAAACUACCCCACUUAGAAUGAUCCUUACAUUUGAACAACCUAGAUGACAUUUGAUGUCAGACCCAGGUGUUGGGGUUAUUAGGGGUAACUUUAGUAGUACUGUGGGUAUUUGAUGCUUCUCAACAAAACUUGAUGAUAUGAAUGAAUGUGAUGCUCCAGAAUCAAAUAAUACUGUUGCAAGUACUGAAUCGACUAAGAACUCACCAAGUACCACUCCUGAAGCAGUCUAAGCAUCUUGAGCAUGAAUAUGGUUGACACGGGCUCUACCAUAGGAUUGUUGAGGUUGCUUCAUCAUCUGGCUAUUAUUGUUGGUGUUGCUAUUGUUGCGAGGGAAACCACGGUUGACUCCACACACUGUAGGUCUUGGUCCAUUAACGGUGUGGGACUGAGUGGACACUGCUGGUGGGUUGUUCUUGUAGGGACAGUUGGCGAUGUAGUGUCCAGUCUCAUGGCAAUUAAAGCAAGUCCUAACAUUGUUUGUGACUUGACCAGUGCUGUUCUGUUGAGUCUUGCCAUAAGCUUGAUUCUGAUAGGUUGUCUUAGGCUGAUAUGAUGACUGCAUUUGGUUAUUGGAGACACUAGGAGGAGAGCGAAACUGCAUUGGGGCUUGAGUCCGCUGGCUUGGUUGGCUAAAGGUUUUCAGCCUCAGGGAUCUAGCACCAUCCUGAACCUUGCGCUCUAGAAACUUACGCUUGUUUUCUUUCCUUUCUUCAGUCUUGGCCACAUCAGUCAGAAUGGUCCUAUUCAUCAAAGUGUUGAAGUCUGGAUAGAUCUGUGGGGUCAUGAGGGUUUUGAGCUCACAGGUCAAUCCUUCUAUGAACUUUGUCUGUUUCUUGGCAUCAGUGUUGACCAAUUCUGGGGCAUAGCGAGACAACUCAGUGAAUUGAAAGAUGUAUUCACUCAGAGUUUUAUUUCCUUGCUUCAAGUUGUGAAAUUCAUCAGCCUUCAGCUUCAUGAUCCCAUCGGGAAUGUGGUACCGGCGGAAUUCGUCCACAAAUUCUUCCCAUGUGAUCGUGUUGGCAUUGUCCACAGCUCCACUAUAGGCUUCCCACCAAGAAAGGGCAAUUCCUGUCAGCUGAUGAGAUGCUAGCAGAACUCUAUCCCUUCCAUCGCAGUGGAUUGUGUCCAACUUCCUUUCAAUCACCUUAAGCCAAUCAUCUGUUUCCAUUGGGUUGUCAGAUCCAGUAAAGGUGGGUGGCUUAAGCCUCAUGAACUCAGUCAUCUUGUCUUGGACUCCGGCUCCACGGUUGUUCCUAGGGCGGUUCAUGCCUUGAGCCAAGGUCUCCAGAAGGCGAGUCUGAGUUGCCAUGACUUGUGCUAAGUCAAUUGCUGGAGGAGGGGGCAAGUCAUCUCCUUCAUUAUGGUUCCUAGUCUGACUCACUUCAUCUUCAUGAAUACCAUCAACAUUUGCAUUGGCUUGACUUCCAUUUGGAUUUUGGCUUUGUCUAAUAGAUGCACGACCACUUGGUUGAGAGCGGGUAGCUGGUUUGGGAGGCAUCUGUUGGUUAAGAUGAGAAAGCAUUAGAUAAGGGUUAGAUCUAUUGAGUGAUGUUGUUUUUUUGUUAAGGCGUUAUAUUUUAAAAAGGUGCAAGUUUUAAGACUUGCUAUCCCGUAAGGGAACAACAUAGAGCACUCAAUUAUUUAGCACAACCAACAAGCACAAAUAUAUAUUUUGAACAAGAGGGCGGUUUACAACAUAGUAAUGGAGGAAAUAAGCGUACUACAAUACGGUUCAUCUACUUUGGGGGUUGAACAAAAGUGAAGUAAACUUCACUUCCCCAAGACAUAAGGAGGAACUAGGUGCUACUAUUCUUCAACUUCUUCGGACAGAACAGCUUCAUUCUCUUGGUGUUGAGGAGGGUCAUGCUUCCGGCAUUUGUGGUUCUUCUUUUGGACUAAGAGGUGGGUCACUGUCUUCUUUUGGUGCUGGCUGGGUGAGGAGGGGAAAUCCUUCUUCCUUACUAGGCUCCAACUCUAAAGCUUCAUGAGAGGCUUCUGUGGGUGGGGGAGCUGAUGGCCCUUCUAUGUCCAUCUUUCUUUUGGUUUUUAGGGACAUGAUUGGGAUACCUUUUAGGACUAUGGGCUCUUGGUCUUCCUCUACUAACAUCCUUCUUUUGAUCCUGGUGAUAAGGUAGGCAUCCUUCAACUCCUGAGCAUGGCGGUCUUCAGCUGCCUUCAAGACUUUAGCAAUGGCAGUUUCACGACUCUCGGCUGCAGCUGCUUGGGCCUGAGCUUCUGCGAGCUGCACAUGGAGCUUUCUAACUAUGAUCUCGGCUUCCUCCGCACGAUGGAUGCACUUCCUUAACUCUGAGGCCUGCUCAUCAUAUUGCUUAUCUAGAGCAAGUAGGUAUGUGGUCAUGAAUACCACAGUUGGGUCAUCUUCAAGUGAGUAACGUCCUUGCAAGAGCUCCAUGCGGGUCCUCCAAACUGGUCGGUCUUUUUCGUCGGGUGGAAAGAACCUCAUGGGUGUACGGGUGAUGGGCUUUUCGUAGAUCUGGCAUAGGUACCUCAAGGCUUUACGGGCGAUGGCUUGAUAUGUAUCUGCAAACCGAAAUCCGGUCGCAGUCAUACUCCAAGCUUCAGCUAUGUUAGGGAAGUCCUCACUUUUCCCAAUAUAGACAGUAACUUCACACCGCUUGGUCUCAUGCUCUUCAUAUUCUCUACCUUCAUAUUCUGGGCGAUCCUUGAUUCCAAGUUUCUGCAUGGUAGCAUACAAGAGCUUGGGAAAGCCUUCUACGCUUAGACAGUAACUGCUGGUCCAAACUCCUUCUGGCAUCUGAGAGAUAUAGAUGAGAGUAAAUUUUUUUUUUCAAAUAGAGGGAAGAGGGUAAGAACUUUUGUAAAAUAUGUUUCUUUAGUAAAAUACUGGUCCAGAAAAGCCUAAGGUCGCGUCCUACAGCCAACUACGGCUCUGAUACCACCUGAAGCGCCCCUGAUAAACCAGGAACUCAAAUGUGAUACAAUACUAGUCCCAAGAGGCUAGUAACACAUUUAUUACAUCAGAUAAGUUUCAGCGCAGUAGUCUUGGAAAGCGUGGACAAGGAAGGCACGCUAUAAUAAUAAGACACCAAAAUACAACACACGUCCAAAGGACUCAGAAACAAACGAUAUCGCCAUCGAACAUCUGACGAGUCCCAAUGCCACAGGCUUAGUUGGGUGCAGACACGACCUUACUCGAACGUCACUUCGGGAUCGAAGUCCGAAUCUUCCUCUGUUUAAUAAAGCAAGGGUGAGUACAAAGUACUCAGCAAAUCCAACCUUACCCUACGGAAGGGGAUAACAGUAUAUAUGCAUAUGGAUAAAUCAAGGAUGAGGCUUAGUUUUAUUUGCAUAAAGCUAUCUUUUUACACAUGCAAGGUUUCAUUUCACAAAUACUGUUGUAAAAGACCUCUUUUUCCACAUAUGAUAGUAUUUCUGAAAAUGGGGGUUUGAUCACAAUUUUAAGUGUUGUUGAACCCUUGUUCCCACAACACAAUGGCAGUCAACCAUUUAUUUCCAAAAUCACACUCACUCUCAUGUUUUCACUCAUCCCAUCUCAUCUAGUUGUUGAAACCAAACCAUAACCCGUCCGAGACCGCGGACACGGCUAUCCAGAUAGAUUUACACUCUGCAGAGGUUGUACACUUUUCCCACAAGUAGGAUACCAUAACUUACACCGUCGUGCAAGCACAGAUCCAUCAAAGUCAUUACCCUCCAUAGCUAAGUAAUGGCGCUCACCACGGGAACACUAAGGCCACAUCUCAUGAUACCACAAUAAUUCACAAAGCUCUUUUCAUAUAUUUCCACAAUUUCACAUACAUCACUUAGUGUCCCGUUGCACACCUGCCUCCAGGUGAUUGCCAUACUAACUAGAGGGAUUUAGACUAAGCCUUUCCCAUGCAAGGCGAGUGGUUGUACGAUAAAUGAGUUAGGCAAGAUGAAUCAUCAACUCAGUCCUUAAUCAAGACAAGGCGGAUAUCUUCACGCUUAACCCUGUAAGGUAUAAGCCACAACACCAGGGCAUCUCCAAAAGAGAUCCCAUCCGCCCCAUCUCUAUAGUAAUCACAUCUAUAACUUGUUCAUUAACCCUUUCACAAUACCCACAAUUUAUUUUCACCACUCACACCUUUUUCUUUUAAAAUCAUUAUAUUUGAUAAAAUAUAGCGAUGAGUAUCCAGGAUGAGUAACAAGUCCUAAGCAUACUAAAUAAUAAUAUUUCUGUCAUAGCAUAUUAUUUGUUCCUAGGUUCGAACAAGACAAUUAUCGGGUAAUAUCAAUUCAAGGAUGGCUAUUCAACAGGUUUUAACUAAGCAGCGAAAAUACUUCGUACAUAUAUCGUACAUGCAAUAUUUAAAACGGCUUCUACGGGUAGUGUUUAAAAAUAGGAUCAAUAUGCAUCAAAGGGGAUCGGUUAGACUUGCCUCCGUCGGCAUCCUCGGCAAACUCCUGCUGACAGUCCGGGUCCUCGGCGUCAAACUCGCGGUACUCGUCUCCAACGUUCUCGUUUUCCGUCUCGUUCACUCCGUCAACUAAAAUACGCGACGAACGACACAGACAACAGGCACAGAUAAAUAAUCAUAUAAAUCCAAAUAAGCUCCAAAAAUCAUGAAAUUAAUAUGGGAGGUAGGUCAUGAUUUUAGAUGAAUUUAGGAAAAAGAAUUAUUAAAAUCAUAGUUAGCAUGUGGCAUUUGUGAAAUGGCCGGACUUUAACCAUGCGAAAAAGGCUAACGAUGAUUAAGAAAUACAUGCUUCACGAGAUGAAUUUUGGCUGGUAGUGCAUGUUGCAUGCAUGCAUGUACUAUUUGGAGUUAAUGCUUAUGGCCCACACAUGCAUGGUUAGAGAGAAAUUAGCAGGGGUCCUUAAAGCUCUUCUGUAUGUCAUGGUUCUAUUCGUAGAGUUCUUGGCAGUGAAUCGGUACAGACAAAUACAAGGAAAAAUACAGAAAAAUACUACAGAAAGACAGAGAAGAGUAAGGAGAUGCUCAUGAGCUGCUCACCUCGUCUUGUGCGUAUGGCCGUAUACGGUAUACGCGAAGUGAGAGCGAGUGAGCGAGUGAGUGAAUGUGUUUCUCGGGUGGUGAGAGUGAGCACCCGAGGCUGGCUUUUUAUAGGCCAAAGCGCUCAGCUGCGUGCCAUUAAAAAUGCUACUGUAGCGCAUGGUCGGUGCCUAAUUUCAUGCGAAGGACGAUGUCCUAUUUGCAUGCACGUUGCAUGCAAAUGGACGGUGCCUAAUCACCGUGUCCUUGCAUGCUGGUGCAUGCAAAUGGUCGGUGGCAUGUUCGUCCUGCAUGCAUGCAUGAGAUAUAUAUUCGUGUAGGUGCACUGCUAUGUUUUCUCGCAUGUAAGCUUGUUGGUACUUGCUAUUAUUUGUGCGCAAAAAAAAUAUAAAUGGUGCCUAGUUGUACGUUGCGACUUGCUAUCUUUUUGUACAGCAAAAGAGGCGUGGGAAAAGGCAAGAGGUGGGGCCCGCAUGCCGCGGUGCGUGCGCGAGCGAGUGCGCUCGGCGAGGGGGCCGGGCGUGAGUGCGCUGCGGCGCUGAUGGUGGUGGGGUCGGCGCACGCGCCGUUGCCGGGUAUCGGGCAGAGCGAGCGAGCAAGAGGGAUAAGUAGCGGACAUAUGAUGCUCAUGCCAUGCGGUGCAGGUUGUAUUUAAAGAUGGAUAAUUAGAAUGGAUGGAAAAAGAAUUAGAUGGAGAUACUAUAGAGCUCAAAUGAUUUAUAGUUUUUGAAAUAUAUUUUGAAAAUAAUUUUUUUUAAUGCGAGUGAUUUUUGAAUGUGAAUUUUUGGGAUGUUACAAUAUGCUAGUGUCUCGGUGGAUAGAGUUGUCAAAGGCUUCGGUAAUGUGCAGAUUGAGAUAGAAGGAGGUGAUGGAGAGAAGACUCUAGGAGAAGCAGAGAAGACUUUUAUUUGUUGGCGCAAGCGCUACAUCAUUAUUCCUAGGGCAUCACCUAGUAGUCUACCACCACCUCCUCGUCAUUGUUGACGGUCCUUAAGUAUCAAAUUUAAUUAUCAAAUAAACAAAGAAAAGGAUCCAAAUGCAAUCAACAUCCAGACUUAGGGUUUUAUCUGACAGAAUUCCACGAGUUUUGGUGUUUAUCUAUUUCAAAAGAGCAAGGAAGGUAUAUAUCCCCUCAAAAGAGCAAAAGUAGAAUUAGACUUUCACCAUUAUUAUCACCAUCAUCACCAUAUACCAUUCAUUCGCCACACAUACACAUCUUGAUUUGACUUAUUGACUUGUUACUUUGGAUCCAUGGUUUGACUAUACAAUAAAUGUCUUGUGAGUAUGUAUACUUUAUCUCCCACCUAUGAGCUCUAGAUAUUAAAGCCUUAUUAGAGUAGGGUGAGAGAGAAGGCAAUGUCACUAUGCCUUAUACCAAAAAUACUACAUACUUUGAGAGAGAAGGCAUAUACCAUCACUGCCUUGGUAAGGAUCCAGAAAUACCACAAAAGAGAGAUCUGAGAGAGUCAUACAAGGAAUCUCUAAGUUUUAUUUGAAAAUCUGCAAAAACUCCAGAGCUAUAGCUGAUCAAAGAUAAGAGACAUGGCACUCGACUAGACCGUUCUAUCUUUUAACUGCUCAAGACGGAAGUGACGGUUACAAGUCCCAUGGUGAAAGGUAAAAUGAAUAAGUUUUAAGUCUUGACAAUUUACUCUAACUCAGAGAUGAGAUCUUAUUUAAAAGCAUGUGUACCAUCAAUUUUUAAAGGCAUUACAACAACUUCAUAUCCAUCGCUGAGAUUAUCCUUGCUCAGGGACGAGCAAGAGGUAAGCUUGGGGGAGUUUCUUGACCGUCCUUAAGUAUCAAAUUUAAUUAUCAAAUAAACAAAGAAAAGGAUCCAAAUGCAAUCAACAUCCAGACUUGGAGUUUUAUCUAAUAGAAUUCCACGAGUUUUGGGGUUUGUCUAUUUCUGCAGGGGGUUAUCAAGAAAUACGGAAGAAAGGCCCACACGUCGGGAUUACAUAGAGAUAUUAACGUGCCGCGCAAUUAUCUUACAUCUAGAAGACUCCAGAAGCCACGGGAACGAAGCGGAGGCAGAAUGGGGCCUGGCCGAGGGCGCCCGCCCCCCUUUGGUGUCCAAUCAGGACCCGUCUCGCGGAUUACGCUCCACCAACCUAAAGGAUCAAGGAUAACCGUUCAAUCAAUGUCGGUUUGAUCCGACGACCCAUAUUCACUUGGAAGGACUAUAUAACCAGACCCCGUGGCCCCUAGAGGAGAGCACCUCUCAACCCUAAUUCAUUAUUCAUGAGGGAGAAGAAGCCUCUGAUCAAGCCCUAGAGCAACCACAUCAAUUAGAUCUCUAGAUUAGCAUAGCUACAUAGGAUUAGAACUAGAAGGAGUCAAUCUUCGAUUGGUUUCUGGAUCUAUCAAGAGGAUUCUUGGUAAUUCUCUAUUGUUCUUCAAUUGUUCAUCUUUGUUCUUCGAUAUUAUGAAUAUGACUUUGUUCUACUUCAAUAUAUUGGUUAUGACUUUGCUCUACUUGUUUAUAUUUGCAAUUAUAUUGUUCUUAGUUUAUCAUAGUUAUAUACUUGGCUUAGUUAGAUUGGAAUUAUAUACAUGUUUAGGAUCGUAUAGCGUUUAUCCAUUAGAUCUAUGGGUAAAUGAUAGAUAUUGUGUAGGCGUGGUGCUUAUACCAUAUUUAUCUGCGAUUGUACCCUAUAUGCCAGAUCGCGGGGUAGUUCGUGGUAGUGACAGCUCCAUUGAUUCUUAUAUAGUCCCCCUCUCGUGUAUAGGGCUGGCAGAGCAACAUUAUUACAGGGGAGUGAUUGCGAUGUUUCUCAUAUUCCUUGAUAAUAUCACUAUGCAUGGGUGCAGUCCUGUCUCGCAAUGAUUGCUAAGUAUAAUUGCACUAACUAUGAUAUGCUAGACUGUAUAGUUAAGAAUAACUUAGGAAAUAUUCUUGUAGUUCGUCCUAAUACCAUGCUAAUGACUUGCUAGAAUAUCUAAUUGAGGUGCUUAUCAUAUUUAUUAUGUGGCUAAGUUAUGCUGAUCAGAUUAAUUAUCUUUGUCACUAUUCAUUACUUUAUAUAUCCUUUAUGUGACACUUAUCCCUAUAUGAAAGAGUUAGAUAAAUGUUCUCAAUUAUACAUGCAAUGAUAGAUACUCAAUCUUAUAUUCCAUUCUAUAAUCAACAUUGAUGUUUAGCAAUCCCUUUCCAGUGGUAAAAAUAUAAAUAACAAUACCUGGAAUACUUCCCGGUUAGAAUGCUACAUCGGUAUUAAUCUGUGCGCUUGCAGAUCUCAUUUAUUAUUUAUUUAGAAGAGCAAUUGCAUAUUUCAAUACCGCGUCUCUUAUGUCAUGCUGGGGAUGACAACUUGGCUUAAGUGGCAUGAGGGAUAGGUUUGACAUUUUUGGCGCCGUUAUCAGAAUUAGAAAACUAAGUCUACUUUUGGUAGUGACGUUAAGAAUGCCCAACAGUCAUGAAUCUAAUCCUAGGUGUGGAUAAAAAUUGACUAUACAUUUGUUCACUAAAUUUAUUUUGCAUUCUCUUAGUUAGCGGUUUACUCAUAUACCUUUUGGUUUCACAGGUGGUCACCAACAUGUCAUAGUGGUGCGGGUGAUGACGAGGGAGUGCAAGACACGGCUGCAUCGCCUCGGUCUCCAAUGCCACCACCUCAGGCUCCAACGCCACCACCUAGGGCUCCAACACCACCACCUCGGGCUCCAACACCGCCACCUCAGGCUCCAACACCGCCACCUAGGGCUCCAACGCCACCUCCUCGGGCUCCAACACCGCCACCGGCCGCCCCAUUGCCCCCACACGUGGCUCCAGCACGAAAGAAGUGGCCGGCCACACAAUCAAAUGUGUCGGCCGCCCCGCCACCAAAAAAGAAAGCCUCCGAAAAGAAACAAGCUAUCAUUCCUAAGAAGCUGUCCUAUGAGAAGACUGAUGCAGAACUAAAUGCUUCAGUAAAAUCAGACGUGGAUAGUUUCUUCAAGAAACUUAAGACUGAAAGAGAAGCCAAGCGAAACGCUGAGAAGCCAUACCUCUUACUACGGCCAGAAGAUCUACGACAAAGGGUUGAGGCUGAACAAAAAAAGAGACGUAAAGCUCAGAAAGAAUCAUCAUCUUUAUCAGACUAUGAUCGCACUUUAAGGAAAUCCAUAGAAGAAGAGAAUAAGAAAGAGAAAAGAGCACACAUGGGUGUAGCACAGCUCGGGGAACAAUCAAAGCAAUCAGUGCCCCCGCUAGUCAUUGGAAAUGAAUAUGGUUCAAACAUUGACGUGCUAUACCAACAGAUACCGACAGAUUUAAAAUUUGAUGAGCUUGAAAUUUUUUUGCGGAAACUGGUCUUAGCUUAGCCCAAAUGAUAGCGGGGGCACCAAUUGAAAGUGCUCCACAAAUUGAUCAUUGGCAGAAGGAAUAUACAUAUGGCAAGUGUUUAUACAACCCUACGGCCCUCAGCAAGCUUGGAACGCAAAUGUACAUGCUAAACAAAUGGUACAUGGCAGCGUGUGUCAGAAAAGCAGAUGACUAUCUUUGUGUCCGAAUUAGAAACUAUCAUUACUUCUGUGGUGAUGAUAUUAUUUAUGUUCAAUUUAAUGAGCUACACCAACUACGCCACAUGGACGCUCUUGACAAAUCUCUAAUGAGUUGCUUCUGUCUGUAAGUGAUUCUUCCUUUCAAUAAUGUCUCUGUAACUUAUCAUGUAUAUAUAUAACUAAUUACAGAAACCCGCUAUACAAAUGCAGAAACAUGAUGAGGGACCUCAGAGUUAGAAAUGACAAGGAGAUUGGAUUUGUGGAUCCAAAUGCUGUAUUCAAAGACCACAAGACCCCGUAUGUCUUAUGGAGAACUCAAACGGAGAGAAAUCUACGGAGGUUCUUGAUCAACCAAAAAGAUAAAAGAUAUAUACUCUUUCCCUACAACUUUAAGUAAGUGUCGUUAUCGUGUGUACAUUCUAUUUAACUAAUUAAUCAGAUCAAAAUGAAGAUAUAUACUAAUUUUGCCUACAUAUGCACACAAAUGCAGCUUUCAUUGGAUACUAAUUGUCAUUGAUCUCUGGUAAUGUCAAUUGGUGUUGAUGCAAAACAGAUCUACAAACACAAAGGGCUAAUACCCGAUUCAAACGUUAAGGCGUGCCAGCCGAUUUGACCUUACUAUCGGCAAAGGUGAUAACUCGACCACUUUGGUCCCGACAACAGCGAUGCGCCUGGAUGUCACGACCAAGAGGUGAUCACGCAGAACUUGAGAACACGCCAAGCUUAAGUCGAUGAAUUCCUAAGAACUCGUAGUAAAAAGGAAAAAUAUGACGAAGUCGUCGAAAAAGUAGAUGCUGGAGUAUGAGUAAAAACUUAUGUUUGAUUGAUUGAUAGAUAUCCAUUACAAGGCCCUAGGGUCUACAUUUAUACCCUGCUCAAAGAGCUACAAUCAGACACGACUAGGACUCGAAUUCCAAACUAAACAGAUUCCGUAUACAAAACAAAUUUAAAUAACUAAGGAAAACACAAAACUACUCCCUUGUAACCAGCCGGGACACUGCCUCAGAUCAAUCAGCAAUCUCCACCCUUUCCUUCAGAGUCAUCGGCAAACCUCCUUUCAUAGCCAUCGGCAAACACCAAUACUGAUUAUCGGCAUGAUCACGUCACCACCUUCUGGACUUAAUCACAUUCAAUUGCCUCUUCAUCGGAAACAACCUCCAUCGGCAACAUCCCUGCAGAUUAGUUACCGUUGCUCUAUCUACGGAUCUGUACUCUACUGAUCUCCAGGUACGUGUCUAAAAAUGGUGUCAACACAUGCCCCCCAGUUUUGGAGUAUAAAAUCAUUAAUGCUCCGAAAUUCUCUGCAGUAAUGACGUCUUUCCGCAAUUAACUCUCCCGAUUUGGCAACCGACCGUUAAAGCCGAACAACCCUGGCCCAAUUUUCCUGCAGAUUCCUCGAAUUCCUCAACCUCCCAACCUGGACAUCCCCACUUUAUUCGCCCAUCGGCAACAUUAUCGUUAGAAAGAGCUGCCGAUGGACCGACCAGGAGAUCUUGCACAGUGAAAUAUCUCCAAAAUCACGACCGCUUGCUGUCAAAUCACCUGUGCAAUCCCUUGAUUCUCGUGCGAACAGUUACCAUAUCCACCUGAACACCCUCGGAUUUCACGGAUGUGGCAAAGAGAUAAGUCAAAUUUGCCCCUGCCCGUUUUGUCCUAUAAAUACUUCCUUCUCGGGUACUCCUUCUCCACCUUGUCAUUCCUCAGCCAAAAAUCUACCUUCCUUGGCGGCGGCAUCACCCAAAGACUCCGAGGACUUCAACAAAGGCCUUUCUUCACCAACUCCCAAAUCUUCGAUCUUCUUCCCUGUGAGGAGAUGGCCAUCAACUUUGUCGUUCCCGAGGUUAGCUUUACUGCCCUUUCUUCUACACUUUUACUGUAUCCCUGUUCAUCCACAAUCUGUCUUACCGAAUUUUUUCUUUUGUUCUUCUUUUCAUUUUAAAAUCUUUAGGAUUUGGCCGACAAGAUUGUAAUCCCUACCGAUCAACCCCAUCUCCAAUGCCUCGGUCCACUAGGAAACUUAGAUCCCACCAAUCUUAUAAACGCAAAGACAAACAGAAUCCCCUUUAGAGCUGAGAAUUUUUCUCUAGAUCUAUGGAAAGAUGCUUUCUGCUCCUGGCCCAGUCCUACCAAGGGAUGGAAGGAUUGGUUCCUGAGAGUCAGUAACUCAAAUGAGGUCCAAUGGGGUGAAAAAAAUUAGAUCAGUGCAUCAGAUUGUCUCUUGCCGAUAUGGAGAGAAAUGAGUCACGAUAGCUGCCUCAUACUUUUGGUCAGACACACUCAAUGCUUUUGUGUUUGGCCAUGGCCCUGCUUCACCUACACUUGCUGAUGUGCUUAUGCUCACCGGAUUAGAUAUAUCCACUACCGAUACCACCCCCCUGUUUGACACCAAACCCAGUGCUACGGUGGAAACUCGUGCUAUCGGCGGUUGGUCAGGGUACAUUGAGAAGUACCGAAGAACAGGCCCUGUCAAUGCAAAGGAACAGACCACUUUUUUGAACAUGUGGCUGGAUAAAUUCGUAUUCUGUGGCCGAUCGGUAGGACCAACUUCUGUUUACCUAUCGGUAGCAGAAAGAUUAGCCAAUGGUGGUUGAUUUCCCCUUGGCCGAUACUUGCUUGGCUCGGCUUAUCACCUCCUCCACCAAGUAGCUAGAAAACUUCUGCUUGGCCAACCCAUCGGCAAGUUAGGGGGUCCCUGGUGGUUCAUCAAUAUGUGGCUUAGUCUCCACAUGCACAAGCGCCUUGAGUUCGACCUCUUCGCACAGCGCUUCCCCAGGGAUAUAGCCGAGGAUUAUGAACUGGAUGAAGAAGAAUCGGCAACUCGUUCCCCUCUGAACUUUGGCGAAGCUGCCAUAGUUUUGCGUGGCACAGGUGGUAACGCAGACCAGAUUAGCCGAUUCUUUCAGACUCUGUACGAGGGUCUGACCAGAGAACAGUGAGCAUGGAUGCCUUAUGAAGAUCCAGACACCAGAUUUCCUUUGAUCUUCCACCCCUUCAACGAUGCUCUCAACAAGGAUCAUGACGUGAUGAUGGCAACCAUCACCCCAAGAGCCAUACUAGUGAACUUCUUUGGAAGUGGGAAAGCUUCUAAUCUGACUUAUGAGUUCUACAAUCCAUCGGCACUAGCUCAUCAACUGGCUUUUGGCCAACUGCCGAUUGCACUUUGCUACGCUGAUGUGAUAAAACUGAGGGAGACUAUCACUAACCAUCUGGAAUGGAUCAGAAUAGCUCAACUUCCACCAAACGCCGAUACAGAUGUCGAUCUAUCGGCUUGGAUCCCAACUUUAUUCAUCACUCAGGCAUACAAACAGUGGUGGGAAGAAUGGAAAGAACACUUGUUCUGCAGAUCGGCUCUCACAUACCGUGGCAUGAUCGAUCCUCAGUACAAAGUUCCUGAUAAUACUGUAAGUAUUUCAAUACUGACGCUUCAAUCCCUUCACUUUUAUUUUCCAUCGGUAACUUACUUUCUUUGUUAUAUAGAGGCCGAUGCCAUACCACCACUAGUCAACAGGAGUGGUAGGCCGAUUGAGCUCCUUCCAUCAGGCCCGAUCUCGCUGAUCGGCAACAACGCUCCAACCUUGGCUGCCAUAAUGCAUCAGGGUGUGUGCCUUAAAAAGGUCACGACUAAGCGGACAAAGUCAUCUCCAUCGGUAGCCGCCACUGCCUUAGCACAAGCAUUCAAGGUAAAUUUUUUAUACCGAUUCCAUUCUUAUGCCUAUUACAUUUGUACUCAUAAACUUCUCAUUGUUGUAUCAGCACACCGGUACAUCGGCAAAGACCAGAAGUACGACUGCCGAUGCCCCCCAGUCCAGUCAACCGAAGAGAAAAGCUCCCAAGAGUACCAGAUCACAAGCGAAGCGCCAGAGAACAGCAACGCCUCCCCCUCCUCCAAGGUCACCGAUCCCGGUGGAAUCGUCUCCCUCUUCUCCAAAAGCCCAAAUACAACAAGUACCAUCUCCUCCUCAGCCAUAGGAAGAACCCCAAACAGAAGAACUUCAGCCAGAGGAACCUCAGCCAGAAGAUACGUUGGCUGACGUGCACGAGCAAACCGCCGAUCUAGCAAGCUCAAUCAUAGGAUCGGUAGUCUCCUCGAUUCAGACAAGUACUGCACCCCCUCAAGGUAAUAUACUUCUCAUUCAUUGUCAAUGAACCUCUUUUUCCACUUUAUUAAUCUUUCUGUCAAUCUUUCAGCCGAGAUAGUUUCAUCGGCAACUCCAGCCGAUCAGCGUGUGGUUCCAUCGGCUUCAACUAGUUAGAGGCGAGAGAUAGCUCUGAAGCACGUAAGUUACCCGAUCUUUAUUUUUAUUGUUAUCAGUACUUGAUCACAAAAUAACUUAUUCUGUCUUCUUUUUCAGGAGUAGGAUUCUCCCGACAACCUGUUCUCCUUCGCCAUCGAGAUCUCUGAGGAUGAAGGCGAGGAAGCAAGUUCUUCUCGAGCAGUUGGAAUCUCAUCGGCAGAGAUUAGAGCAAAGCUGGCGGAUCUGUCAGCCCUUCUCCAUCAAGAUACAGCGCAAUUGGUCGAUGACUCUAAUCCAGCCAAAGUUCUGUUCAAGGCCCUCAGAGGUCAAAUCCCUGCCGAUGCCGAAGAGGUUCUUUUUCAGGCUGCACACUUAGAGAGUCGUCAGCUGCAGUAUCAAAAGGCUGCUCAACGUCUUGCCAAUAGAGCUGCUCACGCUCAGCUCUCAGAGGAAAUGAUGAAAGUGAAGCUCCUUGCCGAUGAGAAGCAUAAGAGCAUCGGCAUUCUAAAAUUCUCAGGAGAUGUACUAAAGCAAAAGAUCUCUGAUCUAUCGGCGAGAAGGGAAACUCUGUUGGCUGAACUCAGACAAGUGGAAGAAGCUCUGUCCCAAGCUCAACAGGAAGAAAGCCAGCUGCCUGAAGCAAUCAAGACUCUUGAACAAGAUCGAAACAUCCAGGCCCGUAAAGCACUGCAGAUGAAGAAGAAACUAAAGCCAGUGGAAGUCUCUGCCAAUGAUGACAUGAGGGAGAUAGAAGAAGCUAAUCAGAUCCGUCUGCGCGCCAUAUCGACGAUCCAGGCUCUGUUAAACAUGUAAACUCUUCAUCGGCGGCACACUCUGCUCUUUUCUUUUAAAUACUCCUGAUAUUUUGGUCUAGCCGAUAGGACUAUUAUCGGCACCUUUUAAAACAUUGAGUUUGGCCCCAGAUACACUUUGAUCCAGCCGAGAGGAAUAUUAUCAGCACUCUAAACUUUUAUGCAUCAACCCACAUGCUAGGAUAAUAUUUAUUUAGAUAUUUGCCAUUCAAUGCCCUGGGAAAUUCAACUCCAUCGAGAGUUUCUAAAAUAUAAGCAUUGCCAGGAGCAGAUCGAUUUAUCCAAUAAGGACCUUCCCAAUUGGGAGACCACUUCCCAAAUUUUGAACUUUUAGUCCCGAUCGGUAAGAUUAGUUUCCAUACUAAGUCUCCAUCGGCAAACUCCAUAGCCUUUACUUUCUUAUCAUACCAUCUGGGAACUCUUUUCUUAUUCUCUUCUAUACUUAUCAAAGCCCUUAGCCGAUGCCUUGCUAAAUCAUCCAACUUGUCUUUUAUCAAAGUAGCAUAGUCAUCGACAGCCAAUUGGUCCUAAAAAGAUAGUCGCCUAGAUCCAGUCUUAAUUUUCCAAGGUAACACUGCAUCAUGUCCAUACACCAACUGAUAAGGUGAAACUUUGGUCGACCCAUGACAAGCCAUCCGAUAUGACCAUAAAGCUUCAUUUAACAAUGUAUGCCACCUCUUAGGAUUUUCUUCAAUCUUCCGCUUAAUAAGUUUGAUAAUUCCUUUGUUAGAUGCCUCGGCCUGUCCAUUAGCUUGAGCAUAACAAGGAGAAGAAUUCAACACCUUAAUUCCCAUACUGCUUGCAAACUCAUCAAACUCCCCCAAUGUAAACAUAGUACCCUGAUCGAUAGUAAUUUUUUGAGGAAUACCAAAUCGGUAAAUAAUAUGCUCUUUCACAAAAUCAAUCAUAUUGGCCGAUGUAACUUUCUUCAAAGGAAUAGCCUCAAAUCAUUUGGUGAAAUAAUCAGUGGCAACAAAGAUGAAUUUAUGCCCUUUACAUGAUGGCGGGUAAAUCUGGCCGAUUACGUCGAUAGCCCAUCCUCGGAACGGCCAGGGUUUGAUAAUAGGAUUCAUGGCCGAUGCGGGUGCUCUUUGAACAUUGCCAAAUUUCUGACAUCCUUGACACCCUUUGAAAUACUUAAAACAAUCCUCAAGUAUAGUCGGCCAAUAAUAUCCAUUUCUCCUAAUCAUCCACUUCAUCUUAAAUGUCGACUGAUGUGCUCCACACACUCCUUCAUGGAUCUCUCUCAUUAAACUCUUAGCUUCAUCAUCACCUAAGCAUUUAAGAAGAACUCCAUCAAUUGUCCGAUAAUAUAGCUCAUCCUCGAGGAGCACAUACUUGGUAGCCUGAAAUCAGACACGUCUCUCCACUCUCUUGGAUGGAUCCUUUAAAUAAUCAACGAUUUCUUUGCUCCAAUCAUCGGCACCGAUUGCCGAAAACAUGUUAACCAUAGGUUGAUACCCUGAAGCAUGCUGAGCCAACCGAUUAGCCUCCUCAUUAUGUAAUCGAGGAACAUGCUCUAAUCGGAAAUCUUUGAAUUCCUUUAAUAGUCGCAUACUUUUUUCAUAAUAAGCUAUCAGGACCUCGCUUCGGCAUUCAUAGCUUCCAGCCAAUUGAUUUGUAACCAACAUAGAGUCCCCGAAGACUUCAACAGCAUAAGCAUGGACUUCUCUUAACAAUUCCAACCCCUUUAUCAAAGCUUGAUACUCGGCUUGAUUAUUCGUUGACGUGGCAAGAAUCGGCAAGGAGAACUCAUACUUCCUUCCCUGAGGGGAAAUUAACACUAUGCCGAUUCCUGCCCACCGGUCACACGUGGAUCCAUCAAAGAAGAGCGUCCAAGGUACAAUUUCCAAAGUCUCCACUGCACCACGAUGUUGCAUCACAAAAUCGGCCACAACCUGCCCCUUAACCGCCUUAGCCGAUUCGUACCGCAGAUCAAAUUCCGACAGUGCCAAGAUCCACUUACCGAUCCGACCACUCAUAAUCGGCAUAGACAGCAUAUAUCGGACCAUGUCAUCUUUGCAUAUGACAGUGCAUUCAGCUGAUAACAAAUAGUGCCUCAACUUAAUACAUGAGAAAUAUAGGCAUAAACAAACCUUUUCAAUGGCCGAAUACCUAGUCUCAGUAUCAACCAAUCUUCUGCUGAAAUAGUAAAUUACACGCUCCUUCCCUUCAAAUUCUUGAAUCAAAUCUGAACUGAUGACCAUCCCAUCGGUAGACAAAUAUAAUCUGAAGGGCUUUUCUUGCUGAGGUGGAAUCAGCACUGGAGGAUUUAUCAAAUAAUUCUUGAUUUCAUCUAAAGCCAACUGUUGCUCUUUUCCCCAUAUGAACUCUUGAUCGGCUUUCAAUUUAAGCAAAGGACUGAAAGCACGAAUUUUACCAGACAAAUUAGAUAUGAACCUCCUGAUAAAAUUUACCUUGCCGAUCAUGGACUGAAGCUCAGUUUUGUUUGUAGGAGCAACUAUUUUGUUGACAGCAUCAAUGGAUCUCAUACUAAUUUCAAUUCCCCUUUGAUGCACCAUGAAACUAAGAAUUGUCCUACCGACACGCCCAAUGCACACUUAUUAGGGUUCAUCUUUAAACCAUGCUUCCUUGUGCAUUCCAACACCUUUCGCAAAUCGGCAAGAUGUUUUGUGAAAUCUCCAGACUUAACCACUACAUCAUCAAUAUAAAUCUCCACCAACUUGUCGAUGAACUCAUGAAAGAUAAAAUUCAUGACCCUCUGAUAAGUAGCACCAGCAUUUUUCAAGCCAAAGGUCAUGACUAUCCAUUCAAACAACCCAACAUGACCAGGACAUCUAAAUGCAGUCUUUGGAAUAUCUUCUUCAGCCAUGAAUAUUUGAUUGUAUCCUGCAUUGCCAUCCAUAAAGCUGAUGAUCCGAUGCCCAGCCGCAGCAUCAACUAGUAGAUCGGCAACUGGCAUUGGGUAACCAUCCAUCGGCGUAGCUUUAUUAAGAUUCCUGAAAUCAAUGCAAACCUGAAGCUUCCCAUUUUUCUUGUAAACUGGAACAACAUUGGAAAUCCACUCGGCAUACCGACAUUGCCGAAUAAAUUUAGCUUCAAUAAGUUUGGUUAUUUCGGCCUUAAUAUCAGGAAGGAUAUUAGGAUUACAUCGGCGAGCUGGCUGUUGAUGUGGUUGAAAUCCAGACUUGAUGGGUAACCGAUGUUCAACAAUCGAUCGGUCUAAACCAGGCAUCUCAGUAUAAUCCCAAGCAAAGCAAUCUUUAUAUUCCUUUAACAAAUUGGUUAACUGCUGCUUACACUCAGAAUUUAACUUAGCGCUAAUAAAAGUAGGCCUAGGCUUAUCGCCACUACCUAUAUCUACCUCUACUAAAUCAUCGGCCAAUGUGAAUCCCUGGCCUAACUUUCCAUCAUCGGCGAACCUAUCCAUUAAAACUCCUCAUCAGAGCCGACUGCUUGGAUCGGUGGAAUUUCAUAAUCGGCAACUUUGAGGAAAUCUUUCUCCCAAAUUUCUCCCGAGAUACACCUAGUCCUUUCAUAGGUGUCUGCUUCUACCGAUGCAAUGACAUACGAAGAAUCUCCCGGGACGAUCUCAAUCUUGUCACCUACCCACUGAACCAAACACUGGUGCAUUGUAGAUGGGAUGCAACAAUUGGCAUGAAUCCAGUCUCUUCCUAGCAGCAAAUUAUAAGCACCUUUUCCACUGAUCAUAAAGAAGGUUGUCGGCAAGAUUUUGCUGCUGAUAGUCAACUCGACAUAGAUUGCCCCCUUAACCGGAGACACAUUCCCUUCAAAGUCCUUUAGCAUCAUAUCGGUCUUGGUUAAAUCUUGAUCUCCUUUCCCAAGUUUCCGAUAGACUGCAUACGGCAUGAUAUUAAUAGCAGCCCCUCCAUCAACUAAUAUCUUGGUCAUCGGCUGCCCAUCAACUCCCCCUUUGACAAACAGGGCUUUAAGAUGCUGCCUUUCAUUGUCGGCAGGCUUUUCAAAGAUAGCUGUCAUCGGAUCCAGAGCCAACUGAGCUAUCAGGUCGGAAAACUCGAACUCUUCAUCAUCACUGGAUGGCGCGAGGAACUCCAUCAGCAACACAAAUACCAUGUUAACAUCUGCCGAUGGCCCUUUCCCCUUAGGAUCCAGUUGUUACUGAUCCCCAGACUGGCCAGAGUUCUCGCCCUUGCUUAGCUCUUCUCGUCUUUCGCGCUGUAGUCUCCUUUUCUGUGUCUUAGUCAACCCCUCUGGACACCAUGGGGGAAGUGGUGACUGCCUUGCCGAUGGACGACGAUGUUCCCUUGACUCCAUCCGAUGAGUAUUAGCGUCCCUGCAAAAUAUGAACUCAUCGGGAGCUCGUGCAUUUGCCAUCUCUUCAAGCUCUUCUUGAUUUCUAGGAAAAUAUUGAACACGAUCACCAAGCCUAUCGUGUACACUGAGUCUGCCCCCCAGCCGAUCAUGAACUGACGCUCUCCCUCUAAUCGGCCCAUUAAACUGCCGAUCAUCAUCAUGAUAGCGCCGAUUAGGUCUGUCGUAACAAUCAUAACCAUUGCAUUCAGGGCAAUCUCUAACAGUGGGUAAUUUAAUAUUCUGCUCCCAGCAAUGGAUAAAGAACGAGCAAUUCCAGUGAUCUCUGUGCCGAUUCCACUCCUGUCGGCGUCUUUCUUCUUCCCGAUGAUAGUCUUCUUGCUGGCGCCGAUACCGAUCUUCACGUUGCUGCCAGGUUUCCCGAGGCCUUCUAUGAGUUAUCACAAUACCGGAUCGGGGAGGCCUUCCUGAGCUAUUUCCUUCUUGGAUCAAGCCUUUUCCUUUCGCAUCGGCAGUAGUGAUCUGAUGCUGAGGAUCCACCGAUGCACUUCUUUCAGCUGCUUCUGACGUCAAGACCUUGGCUUUUCCCUUAGCAUCCAGCAUAUUAGUUGGAAAAGGAUGUUGAUCAAUCUUCAUCGGCUUCUGAGUUUUGGAAUUGUCAAAUUUGAUUCUCCCAGAUUCUAUAGCUGAUUGCAACUAUUGCCUGAAAACUUUGCACUCAUUGGUGCUGUGAGAAGUUGCAUUGUGCCACUUGCAAUAUUUCAUCUUCUUCAACUCUUCAGCCGAUGGAAUCACAUGAUUGGGUGACAACUUGAUCUGGCCUUCCUGAAGUAGAAAGUCAAAUAUUCUAUCGGCUUUAGUGAUAUCAAAUGCGAACUUCUCCGGCUCUUUAUGCCCAAAAGGGCAAGACAUCGGCUUCUUGUUCUUUACCCACUCUGCUAAGCCGAUGACUGGCACCUCAUCAGAAUCCGAGCUUGUUGCUUCAUCAACAAAUGACACCUUUUUGUUUCAUGCUCUCUUGGGCUCAAAAAGUCUGAUAUCCUGAUCAGAAAUUCUCUACACCAAGUGACUUAAGCUUUCGAACUCUUGAGAGGCAUACUUGUCCCUGACGUGUGGCAACAAACCUUGGAAAGCCAAAUCGGCUAGCUGCCGAUCGUCCAAAACCAGACUAUAGCAUUUGUUGUUGACCUCCUGCAAUCUCUGCACAAAACUUUCAACCGAUUCAUCAUUGCGUUGCUUCAAUUUACCAAAUCGGUGAUCUUCUUCUCAUGGACUCCAGAAAAGAAGUAUUUGUGGAAUUGUUUCUCCAGAUCGGCCCAGGUGAUCACUGAGUUGGAAGGUAAUGAUAUAAACCAAGUGAACGCCGAUCUAGACAAUGAUGACGAGAAUAAACGAACCCUCAAUUCGUCUCUGUUAGCAGCCUCGCCACAUUGGAUGAUGAACCUGUUAACAUGCUCCAUAGUUGACGUAUCAUCCUGUCUAGAAAACUUGGUGAAAUCGGGUACCUUGUACCGAUUUGGAAGUGGAUUCAAAUCAUAUGCAGGAGGAUACAGUGUCCGAUAAGAGUAAGUGUUGACUUUGGGUUUUAUCCCAAAUUGGUCUCUCAUUACUUCAGCAAUCUUAUCGGCCCAAUAAGCAUCGACAUCUUGCCGAUGGGGUGGUUGUGGAUCUGGCGCCUGCUGAUAAACCUCCACGUGUCGCUGAGGCGCACGAUCUGCAUGGAACAUGGGGUUGAUCGUCUGACCACCAAACUGUUGACCAAGAUUCAUCGGCUGGUUGGCCAACCCUUGAUUCUGGAACCCCGGUUGGAUCUAGCCUUGUUGAAACCCUGUAGCCUGAUGAUUAUGUUGAGGCAUCUAAGGAAAGACUGACUGCCCUGUCCAUCCAUUGUUGGUGUUCAUCGGCAUAAACUCUGCCGAUGACUGGAAAUUGGGCAUCAUCAUUGAGUUGACAUACCCUGGCUGAGUCAUAAACCUCUGUUGCGUCGGCAUUGAAUCUGCCGAUGUGUUAGGCAUCUGGAACAUUGGAGCUUGAGAAUUCCCAGUGUAAGGUAUUGCAGUAGUAGUUGUAGUAUACUGGGGACUCUGAUUCAUCGGCAGAUUGGGAGGUGCCGAUGCCAUAGGAGCCUUGCCUCUUGUAUCAGUCGUCUGAGAUGUUCUAGGAGUCUUCAACAUCAUCUCCGGGGGCAUGCCAUAACCCCACCAGUCAGGAGGAACAGAUCCCGACAUUGUCGACGCCAAUAGAUCUGUGGCAAGCUUGAUUGACUCAUCUGAUGUUGAUGGGUUGGUCGGCAUUGGUGUGGAUUGUGCAUUAGUGACUCCUAACGUGCUUGGAGGAACGGUAGUUUCUGUGCUCGCAGCGGCCAUAGCAGCCGAUGGAGCUGUAACGACUGGUGAUCCUAGCUGAUGAUAAACAGGGCCCACAUAUUUGGUGGCAAUUGUCCUUCUUUGAAAGUUCUAGCCACGGCAUUGAAAACCGUAUUGGACAGCACACCAGCUUGAUUGAUCAAGGUAUGGUUAAUAGCACUAUCAACCAUGUCUUGAAGUUUACCAGGAUUGGCUUCAAAAGUAACCUGCCGAGGUGCCGGCAGCGCUUCCUUCUGGAUCGCCUCACCACUCCUAUUGAUACUGAAGGAUUUCAAAUAUUGCUGCUUGUAGUCCUCCAUAGCUUUUGCAAUAGCUUGCUUCUGCUCAUCUCUGAGAUUGGCUUCUGUCACGGGGAUGACAUUCUCCAAGUCAAACUUGGAAGUCGCCAUGUCGAUCUUGAUCUUGAAUCUAGUCCCACUGGGCGUGCCAAAAGAUGUGUUGAUGCAAAACAGAUCUGCAAACACAAAGGGCUAAUACCCAAUUCAAACGUUAAGGCGUGCCAGCCGAUUUGACCUUACUAUCGGCAAAGGUGAUAACUCGACCACUUUGGUCCCGGCAACAGCGAUGCGCCCGGAUGUCACGGCCAAGAGGUGAUCACGCGGAACUUGAGAACACGCCGAGCUUAAGUCGACGAAUUCCUAAGAACUCGUAGUAAAAAGGAAAAAUAUGACAAAGUCGUCGAAAAAGUAGAUGCAAGAGUAUGAGUAAAAACUUGUGUUUGAUUGAUUGAUAGAUAUCCAUUACAAGGCCCUAGGGUCUACAUUUAUACCCUGCUCAAAGAGCUACAAUCAGACACGACUAGGACUCGAAUUCCAAACUAAACAGAAUCCGUAUACAAAACAAAUUUAAAUAACUAAGGAAAACACAAAACUACUCCCUUGUAACCAGCCGGGACACUGCCUCAGAUCAAUCAGCAAUCUCCACCCUUUCCUUCAGAGUCAUCGGCAAACCUCCUCUCAUAGCCAUCGGCAAACACCAAUACUGAUUAUCGGCAUGAUCACACCACCACCUUCUGGACUUAGUCACAUUCAAUUGUCUCUUCAUCGGCAACAACCUCCAUCGGCAACAUCCCUGCAGAUUAGUUACCGUUGCUCUAUCUACCGAUCCGUACUCUGCUGAUCUCUAGAUACGUGUCUAAAAAUGGUGUCAACAAUUGGUAAUCUAUGACUCAUUGAGAAAACCACAGGAUGAUUACCAAGAAAUGAUAGAUAUUAUCUAAGGGUAACUCCGAUCUCUAUAUAUUAAAUUCUCCUCUUUCAACUUGGUAAUAGAUAAUUAAUAAUGAUCGUUUUAUUGGUAGGGUUUGGGUUGGGUUCGUGCAGAAACACCGUCCAGAGUUGAAUGCAGCACUUUCAAAGCCCAUCUUACUUCAGUGGGUUCUAAGGCAGACACCGGGCAACAAUUUGUGUGGCUACUAUGUGUGUAAGUUUAUGACAGUCUAUGCCAAAAGAACUAAUCUUGAGCACCUAAAAGUAUGUAACAUGUAUAUAUAAUAAGUUUAUUUCAUUUAUUUGUUGCUAUUUAAUAAAUCCUAUUCAUACCUCUAACUUUUUUCUUUAAUGUCUAUUAAAGGAGAUGUGGCUGAAGGAGCAUGUGUUGGAUGCGGUGCGCCUAAAAGGAAUUCAGGAGACAAUCGCAGGAUUUCUUAACGACCAAGUCUUGAAUCCCGGCGGCGAGUGCUACUUCAACCAUCAGGAGCCAAUGAAACCAAAUAACGAUGAUCAUUUGUACGAUGCUUGAGUGGCGGAGAUAAAUUGUGUUGUAAAUACUUUGUCCGUGAAGCAUAUGUGUAAAUAUUAUAUUAUGGACCUAUAGAUACAAAUUAUUUAUAUAUAUAUAGUGUUUUAUAGUAUAUUUAUAUGUAAUGCUUUAAAUUAUAUAAAUUAUAGGUGCGCGUUCCAUAAACUACCAGAAAACAAUACGCAUUUGAAAAUAACAAUAACAGAAUUGUAAACCCUAAAUGGAAAACCAAAUGAAAAGAAAAAGAAAAAAGUCUUUAGUCCCGGUUGGUAGUAACAACCGGGACUAAAAGUGGAGGCCAGGUGGCACACCCUGGCGCACCUUUUAGUCCCGGUUGCUGUUACCAACCGGGUCCUCGGAACCGGGACUAAAGGUGGGACAUAUAGUCCCGAAACCUUAGCCCCGGUUCCGUAGCCGGGACUAAAGGCCCUUACAGCCCGGGGCUAAAGCCCUUCCCUGUACUAGUGGAGUAUUAUACAUAAUUUUUGAAAUAAAAUAUACAUACAUACAUCAAGAUUUAGAUAGUAUAAGUAUAUACUUAAACAUUAGAAAAACCAUUAUUUUAAUCAUAGGUAGUAUGAAAUGAUACUCUAAUCUGUGAAGUAUCAACUGGUACAUGGUGGCAAGAGGCGUAUGCAGAGUUGCGGAUAUACUGCAUGCGUAUUUUCCUAAGUAUAUCUACAUACAUGAUUUCCUGAGUAUAUCAAGACGUCACAUCUACUGGAUCCUCCAUUUUGACCGGGUAUAGUUGAUGCUGCUGCCGAUGAGAUGACGCCGCGUCGAGGUAUAGACCGCCCUCGGGGACUGCCGUGCCCACUGGUUAGAACGUCGUAUCGUAGGGUGCCGUACGGGUCGAGCCAAGCAACUGCUGGAGGAAAGGACAAAAAUGUCAUGAGAUCCAUGGAGUCCAAGGCGUCGUCGGAGAGGGAGUGGCCGCAGCCCAGAGUCCUUGUGCGGGGAUGGGGAGCCAGACGCGUCGCCUUCGUCGUGGUCGAUGGCCGGCGGCAGUGUGAGCUCUAGCAACCCCGUCGACAUGGCAGCGAAGUGCAGAUCUGGAGGCGAACCACGCGAGCACGUCGGCGACGGAUAGGAGCACUGGGAUGUCGGCGGCGAGCAUGGCUGCAAGAUGCGCGUGGUCAUCUGCUGAGAUGUGCAGCAGAUCCCCGGUGCUCCAGCACAGCGCGGCCGCCAGCGACAGCCGAGGUAAACAGCGGCGGCGGUGGUGGCAGACGGGAAACCUGCGAGGCGAAGCUUCCGCAAAAUUCCAGAUUCCUUUCGGUGACCGAGGAAAAUAUAAAGUGGUGCAAGCCGGUAAUUUCGGAUCUCCAAAGUGCGGUUAAUGAUGAUCGUAAAAUAAAUAAAUUAAUAAUUAAUUAAAUAUGGCGAUCUAUACUUAUAUACUCCGAACGGGUAGCGACGUAUACAUUGUGAUCCAAUAAGACUUCUCACCGUGGCUCGCUUAGAGUAGUUACACGUCGGUGUAGAAGGGAAUUACUUAUUUUACCUUUUCAUAUUUCUUAUGUUUCUUCAUUGUUAUUUUAUAUUUUAUUUCCUUUUAAUCUUAUUUAAAUUAUUCAUUAAUUUUAUUUGCUCUAUGCACUUUUUAUCAUUUGUUAAUUAUGUUUGUUUUUAUAUUUUUUCUUCGUAAUUUUAUUUUUUUAUUUUUAUUUUCUAUAUGUAUGUGAUAUUUAUGUAGUAUAUAUUUAGUGUUUUAUAUUGUGUUAUGUCAUGUUUACGUAGUAUACAUAUGAUGUUCUAUGAUGUUUCUUAUGGUGUUACUUAGUAUACGUGUAAUCUAUAAUAGAUGUGAUGUUAUAUAAUAUAUUUAAUGAUAUUCUACGAUGUAUUUAGUGAUGUUAAUGUUCUAUAAAUAUAUUUACGAUAUUUGAAAAGUAACCCUUUGACAUUAUUUGAAAAUUUUCUCUAUUUUGUGUUUUUAUUUUUUUCUUAUGCUUUUUACUCUAGAUUUUUUUUUAUUUUUAUCUAUGUCAUGUAUUUAUGUAUUUUUAUGUAUAUUGUAAUAUCAGUUUCAUAAACCUAAAAACAAAAUACUAUUCUUCUAAAUCGAUAACAUUUUUUACAAAAACAGAACAUUGUCUCUUGAACCUAGAAUAUUAUCUCUACUUAAUAAAAGAAAAAAUUUUAUCUAAAUAUAUCCUUGUGUGAUCUUGUUUUGAAGGAUUUGUUAUAAAAAAUUUAAUGGUAGAAUCAGAAUUUAAUUUAUAUAUCUGGUUUAGAAGUUAUGACUUUUUUAAUUCGCUAAAACAAUUUUGCAUGCAAGGGUGAGUGAGGCUUGGGUUGAUGGGAUAGCCUAUCAUGGCAUAGUAAAAGGGGUGGGAGUUGUGGCUUCACCAUGGGUGUAGUAGACAGGUCCUCUCCAUAAUUUUUAGUUGUAGAGAUUGCUACGGUGUCAUGGUGGUGUGGUGGACCGUGCUUACUUUACAAGUAGGAGGUCUUGUGUUUGAGUCCCCUCCUUGGGUAUUUUUGCCAUUUUUCGUUAUUUCUCAAGAUUAGCUAGAACGGCCAAGUCACAGGAGAAAACUGAAUUGGGAACGAGGGCUUAGAAUAUGCGGGGGAAAAAUUGCGGGACGACGGUCGAUAUUAUAUUUGUUUUCAUAUUUCUGAUCGAAUUCGGAUAAUAUCAACCAUAUCAGAUAAGAUACGAUUAGCUAUCGAUAUCAUAAAUAUACGGUUUAAGUAUUCAGAUACGGAUACAGUAUCGAAUGUUAAGGGGGUAUUUGGGAUUGCUCUCCUUCUUGUUUUUUACUCUGCUCCACGUUUUUUAGCCAAACAGUUUCAGCUCCAGGCACUCAGUUCGAGAAAAAAUGGUGGAGUUGUGAGAGCACCUAAAGAGUUACUCCACGAACUCUAGUUUUUUGUGGAGCUGCUCCAUGGUGGAGUUUGUGGAGCAGAGUUCGUGGAGCAGUGUCAAACACCCCCUAAAUAUUCGUACUCAGAUACAGACAGAUCUGUCACACCUUGGUGUUCAAAAUAAGACCAAAGUCGUCAUAUGUGUGCCCAGGAAGUCCACACAUACAACAAAAGAAUAGAAAUAUCAGAAACAAUGUUAUAUAUAGCGGAAAACAUAUUUAUAUUAACACUUACAAACAUCAGAGUACGCGGAAACAGUAGCUAAACUUCUUAGGCUCCAUUCUUCUCAGGGACGGCUGACUGGGGGCUUCGUACGCCAAGCACUUCUGAUAAACUUCUAGAAAAACUCCAUAGCACUUUUUGUCCUUCUUUUGAGCAGCACUUUACUACAUACUGGGGUGUGGGGGAAAUAGCAAGGGUGAGUUCAUGUCAAACUCAACAAGUACAGGCGGAAAGUAUAAUGACAUGCAAGGCUUAAUCAAAGGAAAAGCUGACACUGUUUAACUACAGGUGAGCUUUUAAGUUGGUACACUUUUAUUACAAUUCUUUUAUUAAAACAAUCUAUUACUAAAUAUGAGUGAAGCAUCCUGUUGACAGUCCUUAAGUAUCAAAUUUAAUCAUCAAAUAAAUAAAGAAAAGGAUCCAAAUGCAACCAACACCCAGACUUAGGGGUUUAUCUGACAGAAUUCCACGAGUUUUGGUGUUUGUCUAUUUCUGCAGGGGGUUAUCAGGAAAUAUGGAGGAAAGGCCCAUGCGUCGGGUUUACAUAGAGAUAUUAAUGUGUGCGGCAAUUUUCUAUCAUCUAGAAAACUCCAGAAGCCACGGGAACGAACGGGAGGCCG